rnacentral:lncRNA from 1 species
AACCAAUCGAUUAUAGUAAGGUUUCAUGCUUUCCAGGACAAUAAUAUUUCGGUUUUAGCUAGACCUUGAUAAUCAGAAGAAGAAUCGAGUCCCAGUCGACUAUAUUACAUAAGAUAAAUGAAAUCAGAUAAAUCCCUCCCCCCACCCAAAAAAAAAAAAACUGAUUCCCGAUGCAUGUUCUGAACUAGUUCCUAAGGAGCGAAAAUCGAUCCGCUAAUUGGUGCAGAAGUGAACUGACGCACAGGAGUUGCGAUGUGUUUCAAUAGAAUGUGACUUGGUUAAGGCUAAAGCUAUUAAAGAUUCGAUGCAGUUACGGAAGAAAAUCAAUCGAGUCAGCUCCCGAGUGAGUUCAUCAAAAGGCUGUUUUCAUUGCGUCUGUAUGAUAAGUCAUGACUGAAAAUAAUAAAAACUAACUCAAUCCGUUCCAAAUCUUUUCCUAAUCCGUCACUGAUUGCAUCAAAGAUUCGCACGCGGACCCAAUCCAUGCAAAUGAGAAGAGAAAAUUACCAGAAAAUGAAGACGGGUGAAGAUGAAGAAAACCAAAUGAAGAUGCAGAGCAGGAAGAACCCUCGUUGGCCUGAGUCAGCUGCAACCAAAAUGGAAAAGGAAGACCACAAUCUAUUAACCCCUCGUGGAACAGAUCGGCGGGCACGAAGACGUGGUCGCAGUCCCCGUAGGGAGAUCUCCGCCAGGCCAUAUCGCGUCUUGUGCUUCCGCUCAGGGUCGCCGUCGCUGCUGGCUCUGGGCGAGCUUCUCGCUCGGGUCGUCGCUGACGAGGGAGGAGAAAGAAUAUGAGAAGAGGGGGGGGGGGGGGGGGGGGGGGGGAGAGAGAGAGAGAGAGAGAGAGAGAGAAAGAGAGAGCAACGGGAGAAAAAACGAAACAAAAAAACAGAGAGAGAGAGAGUUGAAAUUUCUCAAGAGUGGGUCUCCCGACUCUCCCCUACACCUAUACGCACCGUUUCGAGAAAAUAUUCCUCACUACUCUGGUAGGUAAUCUCUUCCCCGUGAUUUCCUGUCCGGUGGUAUUCUUACCUCAAAUACUGCGAAGGGUCCUCUCACUUUUUUCAAAUCUCCAUACUCAUCAGAUUCCAGAAUCUCCAAUCUCUCACAUUCUUUUAUUGCCAAUUUCUCUAGCUUCUUGAAGCUUGAAGGCUCCGAAAACUUUUGCAAAGACCUGCAGCCUUCAAUAGAAAGCCUCUCCAGUGAUUCUAGCCUACCUGGAAUCUCAAUCAAACGAGGAAAAUGACCUAAAUUAAAAUCAACAAGCUCCUUGGCAUUGGUCAAGUCAGGCAACUUCUCUAGCAACGGAAGAUUCCUCACACAUAAGUAACUCAAGUUCUUUGAAUAUUCCAGGCCUUGAAUCUCGUUGAGCUUCGAACAGUGACUUAUCAUUAAUACUUCUAUAUGCUUGAAGGUUAAUGGAUCAGGCAGCUUUUCAAGUGAUUGAUAGUGCCAUAAAUUGAGAAGCUUCAACGAAUCUGGCUCACAUUGAACCUCAACCAAUUUAGGACACUUACUUAUAUGAAGUCCCCGAAACUUCUUCAAGCUGGUCAGGUCGAGCAACUUCACCAACAACGGAAGACGAACAAGAUGAAGGGCUGCCAAGUUUUUCAAAUGUCGGAGGCCUUGAAUCUCCAUUAGUUGUCUACAGCAAUGGAAUUCCAAUCUCGAUAACUUCUCCAAAUAUGAAAGAUUUAUCGACUUUUCCAUUAACCCACGCCCACGAAUAAUGAAGUAUGACAAAUUUUGGGGAAGCUUAGGUAAGUAUUCUAGGUUAUGUGCGAUGAGUUCAAGCAUCCUGAGCUUCAAAAGGAGAUUAAAAUCUAAAGGUAAGAAGAUUAGACCAUCAUAACGCAACCACAAGGUUUCUAGCUCUCUUAAUCCUACGAUCCAAUUGAGGCUUGGAGCUAGAGGGGAAGGGGUUUGAUACUCUAUAUCCAACGUCAAAUCUCUCAAAUUUAAUAGGUUUGAGAGGUCUGGACAUCUCAUCUGUAAAUUAUGGCGCAAGUAUAUAUUGGUCAUACUUUCAGGAAGCUUAGGUACAUCGGAAAUUCCCGUGCUCGUUAAUCUCAAGAUUCUCAAAGAUGAUAGUCUUCCAAUCUCACUUGGAAUUUCCCCACACAAAUAUUCACAGUCAUAAGCUUCAAUCUCUUCAAGCUUCUCCAACAUCCCAAGGGCGCUAGGUAGCUUUUCUAAGAUGGUGCCAGAGAUCCUUAGUACUCUCAAAUUCUUCAUUGUCUCUAUUGAAGUGGGUAACUCUCCUAUCCUCGACAGAGAAAGAUUCAACUCAACGAGAGAACCAAAAUUCCCAAUUGGAAAUUCACUAAUACUUGUACUCGACAAGCGAAUAUAUAACGGUGAUGUUGAGCAACCAACUAAAUUGCAUUCACUCAGUAAUACACAUGAACUUGCACCGAGAGUUUCCAAUUUCUUCAUUCCUUUCCAUUCAGGAAUUCUGGUAAUAGAUGUCUCGUCAAGAAGAAGUUCUGUCAAGGCUUCCAGUUCCUCCAUCUCGUAUGGCAAUGUAUGAAGUUUCGUACAACCUUCCAAGUUUAAAAACACCAACUUCUUUAACUUACCAAUAGACCUAUCAACUUGAACCAAUUCCUUGCACCCUUGAAGAAUUAGUUGCUCUAAAUUUUCAUGAGCAGCAACGUUAGGAGUUUUACACAAGUUUAUGCAUUUAGUCAAAUUUAGAACCUUCAAAUUCUUUGCCAUUUGUAAUGAAGAGAAGAGGUUAAUUCUAGAUCAUUUUGAGAUACAGGACAAUAAAGUUAAUAUAGCAAAUUCAAGUUGAAAUAAUACCAUACCUUGAGGUGGUUCCAUCCCUCCCAAUCAUUUGUAAUCUGACUUCGUGAUAGAUCAAGAAUCACUAUCUUCUCAAGGGAAAACGCAGUCAACUGGAAAAAGAUGGGAAACUCAUGCCAAGAGAGAUAUCUCAAAUUCGGAAGGAUGAGCGGAUUUUUACAGAACUGCUUGGUUGAAGGACGAUGCUGAACAAAUUUAUGCCAUGAGAGCCAUCUCAACUUUGGAUGGUUGAUAGAUUCCUUUGGAACCAGUUGGUUAAAGAAAAAUGCUGGACAUUUUUCUUAUCCAAGUCUCCACAAUUUACUUGAAGAAACCUUAAAUUUGAUAAGCUUUCAAAUUCUUUCUUCUUAAAGAAGUGUUGAGAUCGAUGAUCAAACUUGAGACGUAUUGCUUCAACAUUUUCUGCUCCCUGCCAAAGCGGAAAAAAAAAAUUAAACAGAAGCUAAUGAUCACAUAAUUGCCUGUCGAAGGGAUUCAAAUUGAAGAUACUUUAGGAAUGUGCAUUUUAUUCGUACUUUCAAAUUGAUUUAUAAUAUGAUUUACAGAUAAGCAUGUCAUCAUGGUAAGCAAACAAGUAACGACUUGGUUAAGAUAGAAGUAAAUAGCCAAAAUCAACGUGUAUAACUCGUCCCUCUUUGAAUAGGAAUAACAUUGCACACACUUUACCUUUACUAUGAGGAUAUCAUUUGCUUGUUCAUGAUCCCACACUUGACUUUGUUUCUUUGGUCUAGAUGUACCAAACCGACGAACGAAAUGUCACCCAAGGUCUCUUAGCAGAUUAUGCAUCCACAAUUGGUCACGUUUUGUAAUCUUUAUUAACGACAUCUGUUGGAGGACAUCAAGAUAAUAGUCAGGUAAAAACCCACAGCUUUUCCACAUGUGCCUCACAAUUUUCACAUCAAACCCAACGAAGAAGCAACAAACAUUGAGAAAUAUUUCCUUUGCAUUUGGUUGUAAUGCCUCGAUACUGAUGUUUAGCUUUUCUUCAACAUUUUCAUCGGGAAUAGUUUCUAGCUUCUCUAAUGUGGUCUCCCAAAAUCUUCUAUCUUUUCCAGCUAAAAAUGAACCUAUGAUCUCGAGAGCCAAAGGAAGAUGACCACAGACUUUUACCACUUUUUCGGGGAGAGGGGCGUAUUCUGCUGGAGGAUGAUCACUUCUAAACACAUGUUUGCUAAAUAGUUGAAGAGAAUGAUCAAAAUCCAUUCCAAUAAGUUCGUGCUUCAACUCAACAUCUUUGAGAACUUCUUUGUUUCUUGUGGUAAUAAUAGCCUUACUUCCAUAGCCAAACCAACAUUUACCCAUUCCCACAAGAGCAUCUAGCUUAGCCUUUUGAUCGACACCAUCAAGUAGAAGUACGACCUUUGUAAAGGAUAACAACUCCUUGAUCACUUUUUUCCCUUCAUCGAUAUCAUUGAUGGUCGCUUGUCUCUUUCCUAGGACAAUGGAGAUAAGUUGAUUCUGCAAACUUUCAAUUUUCAUAUCUCCAAUGUUGGACAUGGAGCAACAUUUAGUGGAAUCAGUGGUCUGUUCACCUAUCACUUCCGUGAUUCUGUCCACUUGAUUGUCCAUUUCAACAGAGGAAUUAGACAAGAUGUAAUCUUUAGUAGAAUCAGACAACAGUUUGUUAUAGACGAUUUUGGCAAGAGUUGUCUUUCCAACACCACCCAUACCAUAGAUACCGACAAUCUUUGUUUUAGUGGCCUCACCUAUUAAUUCCAUGAUUCUGUCCACGUGAUUGUCCAUUUCGACCAAGAAAUCAGGUACCGCCAAGUAAUUCUUUUUCAAUUUGAUCAAAACCUUCUAAGCAACUUCUCUUGUGAACUCACCUUUGCCUCUGAUAGUAUUGAAGGCAAAAGAACAAAAUUAUUAAAUCAAGAUGAACAGAAUAAUAUCUAAGGUACAAACAAAACAUGCACAAUAAUAAAUUCAAGUACUUGUCCUUGAGUUCCCAUCCCUUUAAUUCUCCAACCUUGUUGAGAGCUACCUUCCAAUUCUGAAUAGUCUCAUCAGUAUACAGCUGCUUAUUAUGUGUGACUGAAUGGCCUCGCCAUAAGUUGCAAUCUGGUUACGAACCUUGGAUGGUUCAAUGUCAUAGAAAAUUGGCAUGAUCUUUUGUCCCAACUUUUCCUUACAUUCCACCAUCUGAACCAACUCCAUAAGGCACCAUUUAUGCGACAUCCCGAUUUUCCAAUUCUAAUUUUAAUAAAUUGAGACGGGCAUUUCGUUGGUAUGCAUAUAGUUCCUUUCCUUGAGUCAGCCACUCAUGUGAAAAUUAGUCUAUCAGGUAAAGCCGUUAAGAAAUUCUAAUGCAUCAGACUCGAGAAUUUGAUCAGGAAGCGACCUUUCGACCGAGAUAAUCUGCAAGGGUCAUUACGGCACAAAUAAAAAUCGAUUAGAAAUUGGAGAUAGGUCGGCUCGACAGAGGCAUGUGAUCAGGUGUGGGUGAUUCCACUGGAUCGCACAAUUCUUGUCGAUCGGCACCGGACCGACUUUUCUAUUGAUUGGGUACCCUGUGCCCGUAUUUGAAACCUUGAGAUUUCCCCUACAACAGAAAGUUGCGAAUGUGCCAAAGAUGUAUAUUGUGGCUUGAAUUGAUCAACCACAUGUCAAAUGCACAAAAAUUUCUAAAAACUACUCGGUAGGUUGAGCCGCGCUAGUAUCGUGCCAAAGUGAAAUUAACCGUGAAAUUGAGAUCGAAUUCUGAAAUUGGAAGUCCUGGUGUGUCACAAAUUCUAUUAGGAACAUUGGAUUAAAUUAUGAAUUUUAAUUUGGACUCAAUCGGAAGAGAAUUGAUGGGAAUUGAAGAAAUUGAAUGUACAAGAAUUGGACCCCGACGGAAAAUGAAAUUUGCACCCAUUGGAAGAGGUUGUAGAGGAUUGAGUUAGUGGAGUGAUGUCAUGGUGUGGGGACAAGAGUGACUAGGAUCUUGACAAGUGGAGGGAUGAGAUGGGCUCUUGAAAAGGUGGGCUUUCACUUCAUCUUCUUCCUUGAAUCAAGGGAAAUUGUUGGAUUUUGAAGAGAGAGAGAGAGAGAGAGAGAGAGAGCAGCCGGCCAUCAGAACCUCCUUCAUCCGCCCUUCUUCGCUGCUCGGUUGCUCGCUCGGCCGGCCACCGUCUCGCCCGCGUUCCUCGUCGCUCGCCGUUCGUCGGAGCUCGCACGUUGCUGUCCCAUGUGCGAGCUGCCUUGUCUCCAUCCGCCGAGCCUCCCGCGUUGUCGUCUCUCCUCGCCAACAGCUAUUCGUCGUCGCCGGAGUCUCCAUCACCGCCGUUCGUUGCUGUUAGCUGCCGUCCCGAGCCUUAGCUGCUUCCGCCGGUCUUCCUCCGCCUUUCCUCCACCCGAUCAGCCACCGUGCCGCCUCCCUCCAAGCUCGGUUAGUUGCUGGAAAAUCCAGCAAGACCCAGCCCCUUCCAAGCUCGAUUUGGUCUCCUAUUAGUUCUCAUUUGGUGUUGAUCCGUGUAGGUUUGUCGUCGACGUCGUCGUGCUCUUCGCCGGAGACUCAUCGAUUCUGGUGAGUUUAGCUCACUAAACCUCGAUUAGUGGGUUAAUCAUGCCUUAAGUGUGUUUAGCUUGGGUUGAUUGAGAUUAUGUUGUUAGAUUAGUUUAUUUAGAUGUGGAUUAGAUUAAGUUGUUUAAUUAAAGUAAAGUAUGUUUAGUUUAAGGGUUAAGUAGGUUUAUUUUAAAAUAAGCCUUGAUGUGACUUAAAGGAAUUUAUUUAUGAUUUAAAUAAAUGUUUCAAAAUUGUUAGAUUAUUUAAUAAUAUAUCAUAUUCCGAAAAUCAUUAAAAUAUUAUUUAAAAAAAAACUUGAAAAAAUUAUUUUUGAUCCUAAUUGCUCAGAAUUUCGUGCCGAUCGCCGCUGUAUAGUUAGAAUUUGAAAUUGAUGAAUGGUUAAUGCAAAUUGAGUGUUGAUUGUGGAAAAUAUGGAUUUUAUUUAAAAAAUCUCAAAUGUCGGGUUUGACAUCGAAAUUGGAUUUUUAAAGAUUAAUAUUGUAAUUGGGGUAUGUGAGUGAUGUGCAAAGUGCCUUGGGUUGAUUAUGAGUUGCUGCAUGAUAAUUAUGAGGAAUUGUCUUGUGCUAUUAAGCUGGAAUUGCCCCUAUAUGGGAUGCCACAUACAACGGAUGCAAGUCGCAGUUGAUUCUGGGCCCAUGCUCCUUUAGGAACGCCGCCGAUGUACUGACGAAGCCACGCUCCAAGGUGGGGAGGCGAUGCCUGGCUAUAUGUCAGUAGAUAACCGAACUGUGAGUAGGCUAUGCCUUUGUGUGGCAGUGAACAAUGAUUGGAAUGCUUGUUGUGAUUGCGAAUUAAGUGAAAUUGAUUGUGUUCCAAUGAUUUAAGUCCCUGUUGUUACCUGUGAUUGAGUGAUAUGAAUUGUACUAAUCUGCAGGAAGGCAAGAAGGUGAGGUAAGUCUUCUGUGCUAUGUGGCUAGACCACUCUAGGGCGUAUUUUCUUUGUAAUAGGGGUUUAGGAGGGGUGAACUUGCUGAGACAAUGUCUCAUCCCGGUUUGGGGAAAAUAUUACAGGACCGUAGAUGGCGGGACCCCCAGAGACGAAUGGCAUCCCAAUGUAGAUCAUCGAGCAGGUGCACAACUUCCCUGAUCCUGGGAGCCAUUGGGUCUACGAGCUGAUCAGGACUACCAUAUGGAUCCAGGAGCCUGAAGAUGUUAGGGUGCCCCAUAAGUAUAGGGCUUGGUUCCGUUUUUGGGCCAAUGGCUUUAUGAUUGGUCCACUUGACAGUUUUGAUAUUCCACUGGCCGUGAUGGAUGCUAUUCUGGGUGAGGGUGUAGCUGACCUUCCUGAUGGUAGGGUGGAUAACCCAUCGUCUCCGGACCCAGUGCAGUCAGAUGUGGAGGAUGUGGGAUCGACGAACGAGUCCGAUUAGUAGUUAUAGGACCGUUCCUCUUUUUGGUGACCGAUCCAUGUUGCGUAAACUGACCCAUUUUGAUGCACAUAAACUCUGACUUAUUUUUGGUGCAUAUAGUCUCUGAAUCCUAUUUGUGUAUGUAAACUCUGGAAUGAUGAUAUGUGAAAGUAUGUGGUUUGAUUUUGAAUUGAUCUUUCCUGCUGUCCUAUCCCAUAUGAUUUUGAUAGGAGUUUCUUAGCACGUUCCGCAUGCGCAAUAAUAUAUGAAUGGGGUCGGCAACACUACCUGGGAAUGUCGCAUAUUCAUGACCAUAGCGGGUUGUUCACGUGUCUCGAGGUUCGGGGCGUGACAAUUUACUAGCAGCGUAUUCUUUAGAAAAGAUAGGAAUUGGGAUUUUCGACUGCUUAAUCGCUUGGAGAAGCUCCGGGCCAAUCUCUUCCCCAACGUGAAGCUCUUCAUCAUCUCUAUAUGCCCGUAUUCCAGCAUCAAUGAGGCUAUUGUAAAGGAUAUCAGUGAUGUCGUGGCGAGUAUCUGGUCCUCUAAAGCUCAAGAACACUUCAUAAUAAGGUUCCAUUGGCUUCUCCACUCCCUGAAUUUUCAGAGGACUUGCGACAACUCGAUAUCCCACCAGGAGAAACGUUUACUAUGAAAGUGGAGUGAUGAUUAUCAUGAAUGAGAGGAGAUUACCAAAGAUGGAGGAGUGAAGAUGAAGAGUCCGGAUCAAACGCUAAGAAGCAUAUAAAGAUCCCCCAGAUCAAUCGUUCUUGGGUUUGAGCUCCGCUGAAGAAAGACUUUUCGCAAGAUGGCUCGCUCGCCCUCGCAUGCAAUGCUCUUCUAGGAAGGUGAGGACUUGCGAGUUGCACGUAUACUUAAAGCCAGCCGUUGACUUGCCAAUGAUUUGUUGGCGCAAACCACCAGAGUUCAAAUAGACGAGAUUUUAACGCAUGUUAUUAGUUUGGAAAUCAUAUAAUUAUAUUGAUUGAUAUUCUUUUAACGACGAUGAAACCAUUCUUUAGUUGUAGGUGAAACCCUAGGCCCAUUUAAAUUCAACAUAAAUUGAAUCUACAAUUGUAGAAUCCACACUUGUAAGUCUUUGAGAUAAUUUAUAUUAUUCAUAGUAAACUUAUAAGACUGGAGUUAGUUUUUAUGCUCUGUUUGUUUCGUAAAAAAAUAAAUAAUUUGAAAAUAAUUUCUUAAAUAUGAUUACUUGUAUCGCGUGAAAUAAUUAACUAAUGAAAUAUACUUUCAUUGUGAAUGACAAUUUAUGUCUAAAUAAUUUCGUGAACGAUAAAAAUAUCUUUUGUUUAUUCAUUUUUGUAAGCGAUAUAAGUGAUCAUUUUAAAAAAAUCCGUUUCAAAUUAUCAACUUUCCGCAAAACAUACAUACCUUUGAAAAAGUUACAGUGCAAGUGGAUGGUAAUCAACAAUCAUUUUUUAAUUGGCUAUAAAAUCUUAUUAAAUUCAUUAAAAAAGAGAGUACAUCUUGGAUCGCCCCUGGGAGCGGAGAAAUACAACGAUCUUCCAAAAGAAGUAUUGAAAAUCCUAAUUCUAACCUAAGUCUAAAUUGGAAAAUUACGUGAAAAACAUAAACCUUAGUCAACAACCCUUUGGGAAGAUGUGCAUAGCUCAUCAUGCACGGCGCACGGCACAUGUAGAGCACUUGCAUGCCACAUGUAAGACACAUGGAAAUUUCAACGACUGCCGAGGAAAAAUGCGUCGGAAUUGCAUAGGGUCGAAGGCUCAAAUGGGCUAAAUUUAAGAAUUCAAUGAUUUAAAGAGUGCAAUUUGAAUGAAAUUCAUAAAAUCGACUCGGUUUAAAAUUAAUACAUUGAAAUUAUUGUGGAUCAAAUGCUAAGAAGCAGAUAAACAUGCCAGAACAGAAGAAAGACUUUCAUUAAAGAGUCUACUCACCUUCAAGUGCCAUACCCUUGGAAGGUAAGGACUUGCUACUCAUCCUAGACGCAUUAUAAUUUUACAUACAUUAAACCUAAAAAUAUAGAACUGAUACAUAUAACGUAUUUGAGAUGGAUUAUGUUAGACUUAUUCACAAUAAAUUCAUAGACAAGAAUUAGGUUUUAAUUUCAAAAGCUGCAUUUGGCCACAAAGGAAUAACGCUCCAAAAAAUUUACAACAAGCCUUCAAAAAUAGCUAUAGUUGAAAUAUUCCAGAUGAGUUUACCAUGAGGCAGCAAUGCUCUUUUUACAUAUAUAUAUAUAUGGUUUUGUCCCAAUUUAUUUCUCAUAUGCGGGUAAUGGAAACGCUUUCAAAAUAGACAUCUCUCCAAACUGUUCAGAAGCCAUUUGAGUUGCUAAUAAAUCAAAGUUUCCCUAAGCAUGGAGAGCAGAGGGAGCGUAAGUUCUAGACACAAGGUUUGCAGUAAACAUGACCUCUAUGGUCUUUGGCCAAAGCGGCAAUGGAGGUAUUAGAGUCUUGCAUCAAUGUUCACUUGAAGUAAGGGGGAAGGAGUCCAUUUUGGAGGUUCAUUGUUCACAACUCGUGACUACGAGCAACGUUCCAUCACAACUCAUGAUAGAUGUCCUGUAUGUGUCGAAUUACUGAAGAAAGAUCCAUUGGGGAGCGAGCUUCCAGAAUUUUGUUUCGACGCUUCCAUAAACCCACUAAACUAUCUCGACCAUAUCGCAAAAAUCUUCGCAAUAAAUGUCAGGUGGAAGGCCGAAAGCGAGGAGGCGCAGAGAUCACAUAGCACACGUGUAAAAAACAGAACCGCAAAAGAAGUUGAUAUGUCCAAGCCCCAGCCAACUCGACUCCAUACAAUUCAGGUCAUCCACUCUCUUCCCCUUUUGUCAGGGCGAAUUUGACUGAUCAUUAUUUUUCGAAGUAAAAGAGCAGUUUUGUUCUAACUAGAUCUUAGGGAGAGAUAUGACCUUUACCUAUUUAUGGAAUAAAUACGACAUCUUGCCCAUGGAAUGUUGACAAGACAUCGAAUGCAUUUUGUGCAGAUCUCAACAACCGAGAGCAGAUUCUUAUGAAGACUGUACUUCUGAUUAACUUGGAGGUAAAGGACAACCAUGAGGAGGCAGCAACUGGAGCUCAGCUUGCUUUAAAUCUUUGUCGAGAGGUCUUUGACUGUUUGUACUUUAUGUAUUAAUGAUAGUAAGCUUAAUUUCUGUAUGCUGAGAAAUUGCUUAUUGUAAUUUCUGGUCCACAGAUAGAAGCAGCCGAGGAGGAAUCCAUUGAUGAAAUUGUUUCUAAUUUUCAGAACCAGAACAGGCGGAAAUUUUUAUUCAGCAUUUCCUUCUAUUGAUGACCGUGGUGAGGGCAAGACUCUUGCUCUGAAAGCUUUAUGAUCCAUGUCGUUGUUCUGUUAGUAUUUUGUCUGCAAAUUUAUAUGUCGAUGUUCUGUUAGUAUUUUUAUUCUGUCUGUCCAUCUACUUGCACAAUUGGUAAUAUACUUAAAUACAUUACCAGAUUUCUUCCAACGCUGUUACUGUUUGCUUUGCACGAAGCCUUCCCUAGAAAUCUUACCUUUCUAAGCCCAGCGAGCCCUAUUUAAUCCAUUACACAGCUAAUCAUUUCAAUAUACCCUAUCCUGAAUUUGAUCUCUUCUUAUGUCAGGAAGACUGAAUCAGGCUCUCCCAUGUUUCUACGCCUUUGCUUGAUCUUGGUAUUCCAUGCGAAUUGUUGGGUUUGAUGAGCACUUUCCUUGACUACUCGUUAGAGGUAGGUCAUUUUGCAACAGUAUCUCUAUCUGCAUAAUGAGAAUUGUCAUUCUCACGCUUUGAAUUUAAUUUGCUAGAGAAGCCUAUUCUUUGCUGUUAUCGCCAAGCCUAUCAUACUAAUGCGCUGCAUCUAUCCACUUUCAGAUAACACUGCAUCGAUGUGGAAAAGAAAUUCUGAGUCGAACCCUUUUACACUCACCUUAUCUCUGGAAUGUCGACGCAUGAUGAUGUAUUAGUAAUUAGAAGCAAGCCAUGUAUUAGUAAUUAGAAGCAAGCCAGUCUUGCUUAGGAGUGAAAAUUCUAUUAUUUCUUGUAGUUUUUUUUUUUUUUUUUAAGUUUCUUUGUACUGCAGAACUAAUUCUGCGAUGGUACUCAUGUCGAGAGAGUGGGAAGAAAAGGGAUUCCGGCGUAUUGCAUAUAAUUUCUUUGAAUGCAACAGGUUCAAAACCGCCUCUAUUUUCAUUUUUUCUGUAUCGUGCAUAUGAAAAGAAAAACAAGAGAACAGAACCAACCUGACCUGGUCAGUCAUUUGAUGAUUUGGUCCUGUGUUUUUGGCAGGGUUUACAAUUCAAUGGAUCCUAUUUAUUUGAGAUGAGUUGGUUUUUGAAAAGAAAAUUACUAAAAAGCAGAAACUUCUAAUUUGAGUUCAUAUAGAGAUCGUCAGUUUUCUUGCUGGCUUGUUGGUCAUUCCUAGGAUCCUGUCCUUCAACUUGCUUUCCUCACUUCCUGGAUAAAAAUUCCCUUGCGUAUUCAUUUAAAAUAAUAAGCUCUGAUAAUUUGUCGAGAUUACCUAGUACUGACACACAAAAGUCAUCUCCAUGUAUGGCUUGCACCAAGGUUUGCAGUUUCACAUCUCAAAGGGGAGGAUGCUUUCUUGACCUCGGCGCAAGUGUCUUUUUCGGAAUGUUCAAAUGCCAGUCUCUUGAGCCAGUGAAUUCUUCUAUUCUGCUGUUACUUUGAGCCGGUGAAUUCUUCUUCUUCUCUGCUGUUCCUUCGGGAAGACAAUGCAGUCCAUUGAUCCGUCUGUGGAAAUAAAAUUUCUCCUCUUUCUGAACCUUCAAUCUCCUCUGCAUUAAUUUGUAUAACACCGAACGCUCCAGUUAGUUGUGGUAUGCUCUACCCUAAUGCAGAUCUUCUGCUCCUUAUGUACAAAUAGGCUUGUGUUUGCAUCGUGUCAGCUACAACCCAACAGUGCCAGUGAAACUUGGCCAAACAACAGUGCGCAUUAGACACAGAAAAGAGAGCUCUUCUGCUCACACAUAUGAUCAAAUGUUACUAUGGUAUGAAUGAUGAAGAGAAAUUGAAGGAUAAUGACUCUCCAUGAACUAACAAACAGCGGCAUCAGCCAGCAUUUCCAUUUCAGAAUGGCGACAUACCAAUCUCGCUUCAUCUGUCCUAAGAGAUCUUAACAAAGAAUAAAUAUCACCCUUAUGAGUGUGCCUCUUGUCCUUGACAAUGAAGACAUGAACUUGACCCUGAAUUUCUAUCCAGCUACAACCAGGCUGCUUGACUACUCCUCGUUGCCUCAUCAGCUUCCUUAUUCUGACGACAUCGCCCCAUUUUUUGCUUUCCACGUACAUGUUUGAGAGCAGAACAUAAGGUCCAGAGUUCGAAGGGUCAAUCUCUAAGAGCUUCUCCGCUAUGUGCUUUCCUAGCAUUAUAUCCUUAUGAACUUUGCAGGCUGCGAGCAGCGAACCCCAAACGACAGCAUCGGCUUGCAUGGGCAUUGCCUCUAUUAAGUCCUUUGCUUCACUGAGACAACCAGAUCGGUUGAGCAAAUCAACCAUGCACGUAUAAUGGUCCUUUACCGGUGCCAGACCAUACUCCUCGAUCAUCCGCUUGAAAUAAUGGCACCCCUCUUCGACCAGCCCUGCAUGGCUGCAUGCACAUAGAACCCUGAUCAUAGUGACACAGUCUGCUCUCUUGCCAGAUACCAACAUUUUCCUGAAUAUUUCAAGCGCCUUUAUCCCGUAACCAUUCUGCGUAUAUCCGACAAUUAUGGCAUUCCAUGAGACCUUGUCCCUCUCCAACAUAUUUUUGAACACCCAUAAACCAUCUUCCACAGCUCCACAUUUAAAGUACAUGUCUAUAAGAGAAUUUCCAACAAAAAUAUCAGAUUCUUCUCCAGACUGGAAGCGAAAUCUGUGCUUCAAGACAUGAGCAUGAGCCUGCAGCCCCAACUGCAGAUCAGCAAGAUUUGCACACGCAUUGAGCAAAUUUCCAAAUGCGUAGUGCGUCAGCACAAUGGCUUCCCUCUUCAAAAGGCGGAAUAAACCAAAUGCUUCUUCAUUCUCUCCAUUCUGGGUAUACCCUGCAAUAAGGGCAUUCCAAGAAACUACAUUCUUCUCCAUCAACCUUUGAGACUUGCUGCCUUUGCAUACCCACUUACCAUGGAGGUGGCUGACACUAUAUCCCUGGUAGGCAUGCUGUCAAAAACUGCUCUGGCCUCACUAAUUCUAGAGCACUUAGAAUACAUAUCAAACCAAUGCAUUUCCUAAAACGACAUCAUUUCUAAAUUUGUCACAUUUUACAACAUGGGCUUGAAUUUGCAUCCCUUCCUUAAGUGCCGACAGGCUAGCGCAUGCGCUGACCACACUGGCUAAAGUGACCUCAUCUAUAUCAAACCCACAAUCCAUCAUGCUCACGAAAACCUCAAGAGCUUCACUGGCUGGACCAUUUUGUUCAUAACAUGUAAUCAAGCUGUUCCAAGAAACUACGUUUCGAGAACUCAUUUCAUCAAAAGCCCUCUGUGCACAAGCCACGUUGCCACACUUGGAGUACAUGUCGAUAAGAGCAGAGCCCAUAUGAACAUCGGACGAGCACUUGGACUUCGAUAUCAAAGCCUGGAUCUGCUGGCCCAGAUCCAUAUCCCCUAACCCGGCGCAUGCACUAAGAGGACUACGGAAUGAGUACUCAUUAAGCACAUAAUUCUCCCUAUGCAUCUUACCAAAACAUCGCAAGGCUUCUUCGAAUCUUUCAUGCUGCACAUAACCUGACAGCAUCGAAUUCCAUAAGCACUGGUCAGGUUCCGGCAUUGACCCGAAUAUCUUUUCCGCUUCAUCAAGAGAACCCAGUCUGAUCAACCCUCCUAAGAUCGCAUUCCGCGUGAAGGUAUUCUUCUCAGGCAUUCUAUCGAACAUCCUGUGGCCGUCGUCGAGGCACCCGCAUCUCACAUAGACAUCGAUGAGCCGGUUCUGGAUGAAAACCUCGGCGGAGAACUGGGUCUUAAUGAUCCGAGCGUGGAUGUGGCACGCGUCGCGCGCUGACAUGGACAGACCGCAGCCGUCCGGGAGCUUGGCGAAGGGGGACGAGGUGGCGAAAGACAGAUAGCCCGCCAGAGCCUUGACCUGCGCAUGCCUCGCCAUUCCAUCAUAUCAUCGUAAGAAGGGAACUCUCUCGGAGAAGAUUCGCAAAGGUGCAAAUUGAAUGCGAUGGGGAGUUUCUGUUGACCGUUAUAUGCUUCCCCGCUUCAGCCAGACGCGCGGGAACAUGACACGAGCGCUCAUAUGAAGUGGGGCAAAGUUGCAGUGGCAAAAUGGUAAUUUAGCAUAACAGUCUACUAAUUAGACUCAUGACUAUGAAUUAAAUUUUUAACUAUGAGUAAAUCUAAGCUAUAAAUUGAAAUAUGUCACCCUUAAUGGGUAUCUUGUUGUAAGUCACUAAAUUAAGAUUAGUCAUAUUUAAAAUCUAUACUUAUUGCUUUAUCAAUUAUAGUCAUAAGCUUAAUAUAUGACAAGUCAAUUUUAUUGAGAGAUAGCUGGAUUAUUUACAAAUCAAACAUAAAUUCUUGUUUAGUAAUUUUGAUCAUUCUAAUUAUAACUCAUUCUGACCAAAACAAAAAAAUUGUAACUCAUCAUUGAAAAAAUGCAAAAACCAAUUCUAGAGAAUGAAAAUUAGAUCUAUGCUGGAUUAGAUGGGAUAUCUUUUCAUCGGCCCCCUCCCUCGAGGAAUAGCUAACCUUGAUUUUAAGAGAAUAGCUAUUUCUUUGAUGGAGCUAAUCUUGAUUUACUUCUUAACCAACUAAGGACUAUCUUUUCAUGAGUAGAUUGAGAAUAAUGUAGCUAUUGUGAUAUUUUUGUAUUAACUCACAAUAUUGGUAAUGUUCUAACUUAAUUGCGCUUAACUUUAGAGUAAAACUACCAAGAUAGGUGGCUGUACCUUCAUGAGGUCACUUAUCUUGAUAAUGCUCUAACUUGACCACGCUUAACUUUGGAGUGGAAAUAUUUAUUGAUCUCAUGGGGAAGUGCUUGUCUGCAUGCCAAAUGAUAAAAUCGUGAAGUUUGAAAUGGGAUGGGUCUCAAUAGAUUAUAUCUCAAGUGAAUUAACUCAAAAACAUCACAGUUAUCUGUCCUAGAACAAAAGGUGCAGUUGGAUUUUCAAUUAAGACGCUUCUUGUUCAAGUAAGGUUUGUCCCUUUUGUUUUGUUUUGUUUUUUCGCUUUUUAUUUUUAUUUUUUAUUGUUGAAUGAAUAAUUUGGACAUCGUCCUGUUAUGGUAAGAAAAAUCAAUUGAUCUUCUAAAAUGUGCGUUGCUGUGAGCCUUUGUGAGGGAGAGCUUCAUGAUAAGAAAUGAAGCCCAUCUGAACGCACAUCCAAUCUGUCAAGGCUUUGAAACUCUUUCGGCUUUAUGCGACCAAGAACCGUCACAUCUGGGAGUUGUCUCCGGUUUUAGAAAGGUCUAUUGAUGUUCUUAUUUCCUGGUGAAGUAGGAUAUGUAAGACAGACAAAUUCCUGGGAAGCCUAGGUAAGAACCUGAGGUUCUUAAAAACUGAGGACAAGUUUCCUGAGCAGAGGAAGGAGAAUGAGAUAUGAAGAUAUGGUGGUGAUUUGCCGGGCUUUCAAGACUCUAGUUUGCUUAACCUUCCAAUCCACCAAGGAUCAUGGAGCUUCUUUAAGUCCGUAAGUGUCCUCAGGAUACCUCAACGCAUAUAAACACAGCCCAACUUGGACUGAGGUGCAAUAAUAAAAACGAACAUAUUCAUAACUUAUCUUUCUGUAACUCACCUGAACUUCAAGUGCCUCCUCGUAAUUUCCUAUACUACUUAGCUUCUCGAGUUUCAUAUCAUUUGCUUCACGAACGGUAUCUCUCCCAAGGUCUCUUAACCAAUCACGCAUCUGCAGUCGAGAGUCUUUUCUAAUUUUUAUUAGUCAUCUGCUGGAGAACUUGAACAGCUUCUUCAGAGAAGAGAUUACAGCUCUCCCACAUGUGACACAAUUCUUUUAUCAAACGCAAUGAAUAAUCGAGCAAUAUCUAAGAAUAUGUUUUCUGUCAAGAAUCUAAUGCCUCAAUCCUGAUCAUCAACUUCUUUUUAACAUCCUCAUGAGGAAAUUUUUCCAACCUUGUCAAUAUGGUAUUCAGCUUUGUUAUGGUUUUCCCCGACAAGAAUGAACCUGCAACCUCAAGUGCUAGAGGAAGACCAUCGGAAAUAUUCACCACUUGUAUUGAAACAAGGAUGUACCACUUUGAUGGAUAAUCUCUUCCAAAGGUGUGUCUGCUGAAACGUUGGAAAGAAUGAACAAAAUCCGUGCAAGUAAGUUCAUAAGUGCAAUCAACCAUAGUCGCACUGAGUACUCCCACGUUUCUUGUGGUAAAACCAAUCAUGCCUUGCCACGAGAGCGUGUAAGUGUAUUCUUAUGUCGACAUCAUCAGGAAGUAGAACUCUUCCGGAGGAUUACCUCUCCUUAAUUGUAUUUAUCCCUUCAUCACUAUUAUUGAUUUCUGACCAUUUCCAUACUAGAGAUGAGUUGAUUCUGCAAAUACUCUACACUCUUUUGCUUUGACGUUUCUCGAAUGUCAGCAAGGAAGCAAUGGCAAUUAAAACCAUCUCAAAAUUUAUUGUAGACAAUUUCGGCAAGUGUCAUCUUUCCAACACCACCCAUUCCAUAAAUUCUGAUCAUGCUUGUUUCAUUCGUGCGAGCGCCAAUCAUCCUCAUGACUUCAUUUACAUAACUAUCCACUGCAACCAAGAAAUCUGAUAUUACCAGUAGGCCUUUUUCAACUCCAUCAAAACCCCCAACCAAAAAACAAAAAACAAAAAAAAAAACUCAAUGAACUCCAUCAAAACCUUCCUGACAACUUCCUUUCAGAACUUACCUUCCCUCUGAUGGCGUUCAAUGCAAAAGAACCAAGAUGUUGAAAUGAGUUAAACAAAGUUCCUUCCAGGAAACAAACAAGUCAUAAGGGAUGAAUUUAGUUACCUUUUGGGAUUGUUUUGGAAGUCCCUUCCCUUUAUUGCUUUAACCUCAAUGAAAGCAGCCCUCCAAGUGUGGAGAGUCUCAUGAUCAAGCCGCUUCUUGUUUUCAUGAGAAUCAAAGGCUUUGUUGUAGAAGCCAGUUUGAUAUCAUACCCCUCAUGGUCCAACAUCAUAGAAAUUACGUCCUCUUCUUUUCCUGCACUCUGCCAUCUGCACCAAUUCGUUGAGGCACCAUUCACUGGCAGCAUAUCCCUUAGAGAAGAUGGGUAUCAAGGAUUUUUAACUGCUCCAUCGCUUGAAGAAGAAGCCCUUCAUCAUCUUUACAUACUCGAAUUCCAGCAUCGUUCAUGUUGGUAUUCAGGAAAUCAGGUAUGCCAGAGCAUAUCUGGAUCUCUAAAGCUGAAGAAUGCUUCUUAAUCAUAUUUUAUUGAUUUCCCCCUUUCCUGAAUAGUAAGGUGCAACAAUAGCACAUCAAUAUCUGAAAUUACAUAGUCGAUGGUCAUGAUGCGUCAUCAUAAUUAUCUUCUCUUCCUUUUUGGUACAUUUCUGUCACCAAGACUUACCCCAAGACAUUCAUACUGCACCUGAAAAUGUUAAAUACGUAGAUGCAGUGAUGAUCAGGCUAAUUUCUUUCAGAUGCCAAUGCAGAAAUCUAUUCUGGUAUAGAGAACCUCUUUGACAAAAGCAUAUUUUUUUUUCUUGGCAUUUUGUGCGAGCAAUUAGUAAAGCACAGCACCCUCUUUCUUUACGGGCCUCGUAACAGUGAAAGGGGUAAAAUGAAACCUAUAUAAAUGAUAUGUAACGAUUUUCUCUGGAAAGAUGAGCCAUUUCAACUACUCAGAUUUACUAUCCAGACUGCCCAUAUUAGUUUGUUAUAUAAAUGGAAAUACAGUCCUAUUCACUAAAAAGAUGCAAACACUAUUCUGAGUAAUGCUCCAAAUGGCCAAUGAAAUAAGAAAACAAAGAAAAGUGGAGCAACAUUAGUAGUCUGUUUAUUGUUUGACUUAUUUCUGUUUUGAUGCACUACUAAGUGUGAUUAUAAAAAAAAAUGACUUAUUACCUGAUGAUGACUCCUUUGAUUUCAAGUGACGAGGAAGUGGAGUUCUGCAAAAACAUUGUCGCUCAUUACAAAGUUGGAUUCUGAAGCAGAAAUAACAAAGACAUGAGACACUACUUAAUACAGAGGCCAAGAGUUCAACAAGAAGGAAUACGUAUUACUUGGUCCAUCUUAAAUUUUGGUCAAGGCUUCACAACUUUCUUAUCAGAAAGCACUGCUCAAAGAUUGCCUUCCUCCGCAUUCUUUUUCAUUUUAUGCAAUUGAACCUAUAAUUGCAGGUCAAAAGAGAUUAAUCAUAAGUGCAAUUUGCCGCAAAAAAUGUCCCAUCUUUCUGAGCGGCUUAAUUGAUUCUUACUAGGUCAUAGAAAGGAAGUGUGAAUCUACAUCACAGUUAUCUUCAUAACCUCCCUUCUUUGAUGUUAGCCACAUAUUUGACAGACAAAUUAUGUCAAAAGAACAACAUUCAACUAGAAAUUCCGUCAAACAACUCAAAAUCUGCAGGUUAGAUACCAUUUCUAGUUCCCAGAGGAGCUUGGAUUCAUCAUAAGGAAUUCUGCAGAAAGGCAGAAAACAAGGGAUUAUUGAUAGCCAACAUUCAGCUUUGCUAUCCAUAUAAACUCACAAAUCAGCAGACAAUUUAGCAUUAAUUAGCUCAGGUAAUAGUAGAGACACUAACAUUCAUUCAUGAGAGAAUAGGAAAGAAAUAACAGUAUGAUGGUUGACUUGCAACUGAUGGAAAAUCAGAGAUUGGUGUACUGAAGUUCGAAUAAAGUGAAUAAAAUCAAUGGCUUUCCUGUCUCUCUCAUGUGCUUAAAGUUCUCCAAGUUGGCUAUUAUCUCAUCUCUCCAUUUCUGUCCUUAAUUUCAUCUUCUUGAAUCACUAUGUACUAACUCAGAAGAGACUGUGUCAGGCUAUAACUAAAUCCCAUUAGCCAAAUGAAAUCAAAUAAUUCCAAUAUAACUAAUUUAAAGGUUACCUCGGAAACCAUCGAGGAUGUGUGGUGCCAGGCAACACGACGUCGAGAUUGUGCGACCUCUGCAACCACUGCCGAAGGGCUGGAUUUGGGUCGAUCGACCCUCAACCUCAACACACAGUGGCUCAGGCAAAGACAGCAGCUCGACAGUCAGUGCGGCCCAAGUGAGGGCCAUUAGGGCUUCUCGAUGCCAGGUGAGGUGACACCGAGGUUACGUGGCCUCCCCAACACCUGUAUAACUCCACAUUUCUUCCUUUUUUGUGAAAAAAAAAAAGGACAACUAGCCAAAAUGUUGACUGCUCUGCAUGUCUCAUUUGCUAAUGUCAAUGAUACACUGGCUUCACAGUUGCUUCCUCUCUUCAAUGCGUGGGCCAAAAAAUGGUUCAUUUUUCCCCCUUCCACGCUGAUCAACAACUCCAAAUAAUAUAUUGCUUUAAGAUCCUAAGAAGAAGAGAGAUUUGAAAACUGAUUGAUUCAUCAUGAAAUCUAAAGCAGUAAUCAUUACACUUUUCACAGAUCAAUUUGCUGGUUAAUUCCAAUCGGUAAAUAGACUCUCUCUUUGGCUGAUUCCUUGGCUCGACCUAUUUACUUCCUUGGCUCAGACUUGGUGACUUCCUUCAAAGUCCUCCAAUCAUCAGAUCCCAGCAAAUAUUUUAGCUUCUCACACUCAUGUAUCCUCAAAUAUUUUAGCUUCUUGACGCUUGAUGGAGCCGGUAGCUUUUCCAGAUCUCUGCAGAACUCUAUACGAAGUAUCUCCAGUGAUUCUAGUCUGCCUUGAAUCUCAACCAUUUUAGGACAAUUAUACAGUUCAAGUUUCGUGAGCUUGCUUAAGGUAGUGAGGUCAGGCAAUUUUUCCAGUGAUGUAACUCUAACAAACUUCAAUGAUCUCAGGUUCUCCAAGCCUUCGAGACCUUGAAUCUCUGUUAUUUCACAACUUGUAACUUCCAAAUCCGCUAGUACCCUCAAGUUUGAAAGGUCUAUCGAUGUCUUCAUUUGCCAACAACCUUUUAUAACUAAGCUCAACAAACUCGCAGGAAUCCUUGGAAGGCAUUUCACGUUUUCGCACCUGAGCUCAAGUUCCUUGAGUUCAGAAAGGAGAACGAGGUCUGGAGAUAGGGUGGUCAGGUAAGGAGAUUCCAGCCAUAUAGCCUCUAGUUUGUGUAACCUUCCAAUCCACCAAGGACUGGAAGUUUUCUCAAGUUCAGAAGGGUCCAUCCUAGAACUCCACAAGACCAAACUCAAAUCUCUUAAGUUCAAUAGGUUUGAGAGAUCUGGGAAUGUCUUCAUUGACCAAGUGCCAAAGUAAAGACUGGUCAGACUUUCAGGAAGCUUGGACAAUCCCGAAACUCGAGUGUAUGUCAGUCUCAAGACUCUUAGAAACUUUAAUCUCCCGAUAUUGCUCGGCAUUUCCCCUUCCAAACAUCCACAGCGGUCAGCAUCUACCUCUUCAAGCUUAUCCAAUAGUGCUAUGGCACUGGGUAGUUUUCUCAAGGUACUGCAGCAUAUUCUCAGUACUUUCAAAUUCUUCAUAUUUCCUAAUGAAGAAGGUAGCAUUUGAACCUGUGAGUGGGAUAGAUCCAACUCGACUAGUGAUUGCAAGUUCCCAAUGGACUCUGGAAGUUGAGUAAUCUCAGUUGCUACCAACGAAAGCUUCAAUAAUGAUGCUAAGCAGCCAACUGAACUACAAUCAUUCAAAUUUUUACAAUUACGAACACUUAAGAAUUUCCAGUUUCUUCAUUCCUCUCCAUUCGGGAAUUUCUCUUAUUGAUGUGCCAUCCACAAGAAUUUCUGUUAAAGCUUCUAGUUUAGCAAUCUCAUCUGGCAGCUUGCUGAGUUUAGUGCAGAACUUUAAGUUUAAGAAAACUAACUGCUUUAGCUGACCAAUAGAUCUAUCAAUAUGGACCAACUUCUGACAUCUUUCAAGAAUUAAUCUCUCUAAAAAUACAUGAGAUGAGAAGUCAGGCGUUCUAUUUAACUUUCUGCACCCAGUCAGAUUUAGAACCUUUAAAUUCUUUGCCAUCUGUAAGGGAGAACAACAAAAUUUCAAUCCCAUUAAGGAAAUAGGUAAUUAAAAAAAAUAUAUUGAAAUUAUUUUGAAACACCUCCUAGGCUUCUACCUUGAUGUGGCUCCAUCCACUCCAUUUUUUUUUGUAAUUUUACUCCAUGAUAGAUCAAGAAUCACUAGCUUUGUCAGGGAAAGAGCGGUCAGCUCAAAAGUUGCCGGAAAGUUAUGCCAUGAAAGCCAUCUCAACAUUAAAAAUAUGUAUGGACUCCUUCGGAAAAAAACUGGCUGGAAGAACAUUCAAGCAGCAACCACACCGAAAAGAACUGACUUGAGCAAAACAAUGCAGAUUUGUGCUUGUCUCAUUGGAGUUUAUGCCAUCUACUUGCAAGAACCUUAGGUUUGAUAGACUGGCAAAUGCUUCAUAUGUAAUGUUGUAUUCGCAACUACUUUCAAACUUGAGUCAAAUUGCUUCAACAUUUUCUAAUCCCUGGCCAUACAAAAAGGGAAAUAGCAGUUAGAAAGCACAUAGUUCUUGUUUGGAAAAUUAUAUUCACUUGGGGUGCUAUCUUUCCUCGAAAUUUAUAUAUUACUUUAGGAGAUGUGUCGGUACUGUGAGCGGAAAAGAAAUAAUACACAAGAAAUUCUUUUAAUUGGUGAGUAGUUAAAUAGAACGCUCUUGAGAAUGAAUUGACUUUGUACACUCACCUUCGUCCUCAUAAGCAGAUCAAACACUUCAUCAUGAUUCCAUACUCUGCUUUGCUUCUCUGAUUUCAUAGCACACUCUUGACGAAUGAUUUCACGUCCAAGGUCUCUUAGCUGAUCAUGCAUCCAAAGACAGUUGUCUUCUUUAAUCUUUAUUAAAGACAUCUGCUGGAGGACUGCAAUGGCUUCUUCAGGAAAAAGCUCGCAACUUUCCCACAUAUGGAUCACAAUUCUUUUAUCAAAACCAAUGAAGAAACAGGCAAUAUCAAAGGAAUAUGCUCUUUUGUCUAUCAUCUAAUGCGUCAAAACUGAUCUUCAACUUCUUUUUUAUGUCCUCAUGAAGAACUGUUUCCAGCUUCUUUAAUGUGAUAUCCCGUUGUGCUUUGCUUUUUCCAGAUAAAAGCGAACUCAUAACCUCCAGAGUCAGAGGUAGACCGCCACUAAUGUUCACGGUUUUUGCGGAGUAAGGGAGGAAUUCCUCCAAAGGAUAAUCUCUUCUAAAUGCAUGUCUGCUGAAAAGUUGCAGAGGAUGCUUAAAAUCCAUGCAGGGAAGUUCAUAAGUCCAAUCAACUUUGGGCUCAUGAAGAACAUCCUUGUUUCUGGCGGUAAUGAUAAGCUUGCUUCCUUUGCCAAACCAUUUGCGCUUCCCCAGGAGAGCAUCCAGUCGAAUCCUUUUGUCAACUCAUCAAGUAGAAGUAGAACUCUUUUAGAGAAUAACCUCUCCUCAAUUAUCAUGGUCCCUUCAUCCACAUUAUCAAUGUCCAGCCAUUUCCUUCUAAGGAGUAUAGAGAUGAGCUGAUUCUGCAAAUACUCAACACCCUUCUGCUCGGAAGUUUCUUGUAUGUUAAGCAACAACCCUCAAAAUGAUGGGAGAGUUGGUUGUAGAUGAUUUUGGCAAGUGUCGACUUCCCAACACCAUCCAUGCCGUGGAUUCCAACAAUCGUAGUUUCAUCAGUCUCGGCAAACACCAUUCUCAUUAUUUCACCCACAUGAUUGUCCAUUUCAACCAAGCAAUCAGAUACGACUAAGUAGGCCUUUUUCAACUCAAUUAAAACCUUGUUGACAACUUCUUUUACGAACUCACCUUUACCUCUGAGCAUUAAAGGCAAAAGAACUUAGAUACUAGAUUAAGGUGCAAAAAAACUAACCAAAAAAAGCAAUAACAGAAAUUCAUCACUGGAGCAAAACACAUAAUAGACCAUGAUGAAUAGCAAGACCUGUUCGGAUUGCUCUGGAAAUCCCAUCCCUUUAACGCUCCUACCUCAUCGAGGGCAGCCUUCCACCCAAGGAUGGUAUUCGCAUCAAACUGCUUCUUCUUCAUGUGCGAAAGAAAGGCCUCACCAUAAUCCCCAAUUUUGUUUUCGAACCUCGGAUGGCCUGACAUCGAAGAAAAUGGGCAUGAUCUUCUGCCCCGUAGCUCUCUAGCACUCCAACAUCUGUACCAAUUCCAUAAGACACCACUUACUGUCAGCAUAACCUUUGGAGAAGAUGGGUAUCAAGAUUUUGGACUGCUCAAUUGCCUGGAGAAGCACUGGACCGAUCUCUUCCCCAGAACGGAGCUCUUCGUUAUCUCUGUAUGCUCGAAUUCCAGCAUCAAUGAGACUGGUAUACAGGAUAUCAGCGAUGUCCAAGCGUGUAUCCGGUCCUCUAAAGCUCAAGAAUACUUCGUAACAUGUUGACAUGGCUUCACAACUUCCAGCGUUUGAGAUGAUUCGUUACUAGACAAGCAGCAGCAGAAUCACCGACAGCUUCUGUGAUCCCGUUGUCUGUUUUCACCUCUUCACUGGGUCGUACAAAAAGAUGGAAACAAUGGAAGCGACGACCAAUGCCAAGUGCGAGGACCAACCUGGGUACACCCUCUAAACCUAUGAAAACGAUGCUGUGAAGAUUUCUGUCGGGAUGGGAAACAAAUGUACGUGAGAUCUGCUCAGGUCAAUGAUUGCUGUCAGUCUUUUUCUGGUUAACCUUGUAUCUAAUGUAUUCUAUUGUCUUCAAAAACUUGAGAAGGAAGCUUCCUCUUCACUUCAAUCGAGGCAUACACGGUUUGGUUAUUUUUCUUGGCCAUGAACACACACAAUUAAAACGCGGCCUCUCUAUGGCAGCCACGAGGGAGGUUAGGAUAUCCUCGACGGAGCAUGCGAACAAAAUAGACAGCUUUUGCCGUAUUAGUGAUGACUAACUUGGAUUGUUACUAUUCUUCAUAUACAAAAGCUACUUAUUCCCGAUACGUUGAUGAGUCCGUUAAAACUUUGAAAAUUACUUACCCCAUAGAGGUGGAGAAGUUGCUUAUUACAAACAUUGAUAUGUUAAUUAAAUGUUCUUAUUAUAAUAGAUAGAGCUUGAAAAGGGGUUUGCUUCAACCAAAAUUCAAGCCCUGAAGAUUUCAAGCCACAGAUUCCGAAACCUCGAUAUACUCCAUCUCAUAGGCAACCUCAACAGGGCAUUGCCUCAUACUGGCUAGGUGCUUUGCUCCUGAAGUGCUUCUAAUGAGGUUUGAACCUACACCACGAGAAAAAAGGCAAACUAACUCCCUUGCUAAUUUCUAUAGGCCAAGAGUAACUUUUCCAUGAAAACUCUAGCAAGUGAUAGAUAUGCACUUGCUUUUAGGAGCAAAUACUAAUCAUGAUGAAAAGAUCCCUUCUUAAAACAAUUGACAUAUAGAUAAAAAAAAAUUAUGAAGAGUUACUGACUAAUGGAAGACUAAUAGACUAAAGACUAUUUAUCUUUAUGCAAACAUAGGAAAAAAGGUUACUGAGUACUAAUGAUUACUUAUUUUCUUCUAAUCACCACGGUAAAUUUACUAAUAAAAGUACCUAGCACAUUGACACUUACUUUUUCGAGUGAUUUGACAUAAACCAAGUGGAGGUCUUACUAACCGAUUAAAAAUAUAUUAUAUCUUAAAUGAAAAUCAUGUGAUAAAUAACUUCUCAUGAGUAUCUAUAUUCUCUUCUCCAAAGUCUAGCAUAUAUAAGUAGUUAUAAAUUUUAGGCCAAUUACCAUUUAAAAAAAAAAAAAAAAAACUCCCAACUCUACACUUCUGUUAAUUUCUUUUGCGGAGUAUAAAGCAUAUGAAAAAGACGCCAGUACUUAUUCUUUUGUGUACAAUCUACCCUUUGUUAGUCUGUUAGCCGGCAAAGAAAAAAAGGUCAUGGCCUUAUUGAUGCGGCAACUAAGGUGACUCAGUAUCACCAUCAAGUGUCAUUAACAAGUAAUUAAUAGAAAUUGAUUGUUAAAGAAGCUACUUAUAAAGAUUAGAGAAAAAGGCAACAGAGGAAAAAAGUGCGAGGAAAAUCGAGAGAGAGGGAGAGAUGAAAAGAUGACUGACUCAAUUAUCAUGCAAUCACAAACAGUAACGAAAGCAGAUCAAUGUAUAUUAGUUGAAGUUAACGACCAAUUUCAAAUAGUACUCAGGUCUCAGCACGACCACAUCACUACUCAAUCUCAAGCUCAAUCUUUCGGCUUCUCAGUAUUGUUCAUGAUCAAACAUGUUGGCUUCUUGAAGCUGGUAAGGUUGGGUAGCUUUUCCGAGGCAGUCAAUACGGUACAUCUCCAGUUGUUCUGGUCUGCCUUGAAUCUCAAACAACUUAGGACAACUCCACGGGAGAAGUAUAGGACGCCGUCUCUAUUGAUAGCAAAGCUGCAAGUAUUAACGAUAGUCAACAAUCUCUCGCAUCUAAAUGGCUUAGUGGUCUUUUCGAUUAAAUAAUUUCUAUCAGCUCAGUUCGAAAAAGAUUAUGCUGGUAUUUUACUAGGUACACUAUCGAGGGCAUGCAGCUGCCAUGUUGAAAGGUGAUAGGUGGUACACAUGGCGAAGUUCUUAGAUACAAUCGAGAUUGACUUUAUGGACAAAAAAAAAAAAAAGAGCUAGUGCAAAGUUUGGUUAUCGAAAUUUCCAUCACCUUGGUCCUUCAAAAGUUUGUGUUCUUUGGACUCUCUAAGCUUCUUCCUACAGGUGGGAAAUUCGAGAUGAAUCUUUAUACUCCUUCACUCUCUCUCGACCGCUACAUGACAGAAUACGAACUGUGGAAGAGAAGAAGACUUCAAAUCAUUGAUAGUCUGUAAGUGAGAAAACGGUAGGAACAAAAGAUGCACAGCAGAAGCAAUAUGAAAAACAAUCUUCGAGCCCUCGCUCUUACACAAUAUCAGAAUAACAGUAAUAAGGAGCUUGCAGUACUUAGAGCUUCUGAGAUGCCGCCCAGCCACUGAAAUAAGGCGCAACCAUCGCCUACAUCCUUCCAUCCACCAUACUAAAGUCCAAAAGAGAAAAAAUAUCUUAAAAAAUUACUCUGACAAGUCGGAUUCAACAAGAUCAGACUGCCUCUCUGCCUUCAAAGUUCUCCACCGAUCAUCACAACUCAGAGAAUCUGAUAGCUUCUCACACUUACGUAUAAGCAAAGAUUUCAGCCUCAUGUGGCUUGAUGGAUCGGGAAACUUUCUGACAGAUUUACAGGACACGAUCCAGACUGUCACCAGGGAUUCUAGCCUGCCUUUGAUCUUGACCGCUUUAGGACAGCAGUGCAGAUAAAGUUUCUGGAGCUUCUCUAAGUUGGUUAGGUCAGGCAACUUGUUCAAACAACUCCUUCAAGCUUUAACACUCUCAGGUUCCCCAAACCUUGGAGGCCUCUGAACUCACUUUAGGGCAAUGAGCAACUUCCAAAUCUGACAGCCCUUUCAAAUUUGAAAGGUCUAUUAAUGUUUCCUGCAUGAUUCUAUAUUUAAGUACAACGAAUUUGGGGAAGGCAAAAUGGGCGUCGCAGCUUCUUGCAGUGGACCAGUUCAAGUUCCUUGAGCUGUGAAAGAAGACUAAUGUCUGAAGAUGGGGAGGUGAAAUAAUGACAUUCCAACCGCCAGGACUCCAGCCUCCCUAACCUUCUGAUCCACCAAGGACUUGGAGCCCCAUUGAAUCAGAAGCAUCCUCAAAAUUGUCAAAACCUGGAUUUUCCAUAGAAUUUGAAUACCAGAUAAGUAAGUAAUUUAACAUCGAAUGACACACAUUCUUUUGUUACUUUACAUAAUCAAAACCUUGUACAAAAGAUCCACCUAUGUAUAACACUAAUCUAAAUGUCCCUAAACUCCAAACCCAACUAAUAAUGGACAAUAUUUUGGAGGGGCGGGUCUAAUCUCAGUAAAUGAAAGUUCUAGGUCCACCUCCUCACCAGUCAAUCCAAGAACACAACAGUAUAGUAACAAUUAUUGUCAAUUGGAAAACAAAUACUCACUUAAGGUAUGCAAUUCAUGCAUUAUAUACAAAUGACUAUAAUUAUUUGUGCAAUGAAUAAAAUAGAUGCACUCCAAUGCACACAACUCAAUUACUAAUCUGAUGUGCACAAUACCCAUUGCUCAUCGAUAUACACGAGUUAUUUUAUUCCCUACUUGUCACCGGUCGUAACUCAUCUCAACAAGACAACAUCACCACCAACUCAUGAGAUGAGGUCAUACUACAGUCACAUGAUGAUGGCUAUCCCAUAGUCAUUCUCAUUAACAUUCAUACCCAUUCCAUUUUCUUUCUCAAUCUUGAACCUCAAGUUCAUAAUAUCACAUAUAGGCUAUUUAAUUCGCAUCAUGUUACACAAGUCAUAUCAUUUCAUGUAUGAAUCACUAGACUUCAUAUCGUUUCAACCGUAUAGAGACCCGUCUUAAACGGUAGAAUAUUCGUUUUUUCCAAGAGUCUUAUAAACAUACUCAGGAAAAUUAAUCGUAGUGUUGUUAUAUUACUAACAACACUUGCAGAAUUUCCAUGGAGUUGGUAAUUUACUUAAUUACUAGAAUAUUGAUAAAUUCCCAAUAGUCUUGUUCAUUCACUCACGACAAUGGUAAAAUUUCAAAGGUUUUGAUAAUUUACUACUUCCUUAUAUUGAUAAAUUUCUGAUAGUAUUAGUAUUUAUUUAUUAUACAGGUAGAAUAUAAGAAGAUUUGGUCAAUUUAGUGGAAAUUUUAUAAAUUUCUGAUAAUAUUGAUAAUUUACUGCUGAUUUACGUAACAAGCAGGUAACUUGAAAUGCGGUCAUUAAUCAUUCAGAAGCCCCUGUAGAAAUCCAUUUGAAGUUAUGAAAACUAAAGGACCUUUGUGACCAUUGCACAUGAUCAUUAACUAGAGAGGGUUAUGUUCAUGCUAGACACAAUGUUUUGCCCCUACUUCUUCAUUCCCUCAAUGUGGAAAUUUUCAUGGGAAAUCCUUAACAAUUCUGUGAUUAUGGUCACUGAUGUCAGAUAGAAUUCACGACACUGAAUGCAACCAAGAACAUCAAUCUCUACAAAUGAAAUCUGGAGCAAGUCAUCUUGAAUCCUUGAUGAAUUUCUUCCAUAACGAGAUUUAAUCACUAAGUACACCAGCUAAAAUAUUAGAAGUAAGUAGGACCACAACAGACCAAGAGAAGAAGAAAGAAAAUUGCAGAACCAAUCGAUUAUAGUAAGAUUUCAUGCCUUCCAGGACAAUAUUUCGGUUUUAGCUCGACCUCGACAAGCUCAGAAGAACAACUGAUUCCCAUUUCCCCAUGUAUGGUUUGAACUAGUUCCUAAGGAGCGAAAAUCAAUCCCCUCACGGGUGCAGAACCGAACUGAGGCACAGGAGUAGAGAUGUGUUUCAAUAGAAUGCGACUUGUGGUUUAGACCAAAGCUAUUAAAGAUUAGAUGCAGUUAUGGAAGAAAAAUCAACUGAGUCAGCUCCCGAGCGAGUUCAUCGAAAGGCCGUUUUCAUUUCGUGUGUAGGACAAGUCACGACUGAAAAUAAUAAAAAAACAACUCAAUCCGCCCCAAAUCUUUUCCUAAUCUAUCACAGAUUACAUCGAAGAUUCGCACGCGGACCCAAUUCAUGAAAAUGCGAAGAGAAAAUUACCAGAAAACCAAAUAAAGAUGCGAAGAAGGAAAAAGCAAGACCUUGUUUUAAGACUCGUGGGAACAGAUCGGGGGGCAGGAAGACGGGGGUGGCAGUCCCCGGAGGGAGAUCUCCGCCUGGUCGAAUCGCGUCUCAUUCUUGCGCUCGGGGUCGCCGUCGCGUUCCUUGACAGUCGGAGUCCGUCGCUGCUGGUUCUGGGUGAGCUCCUCGCUCGGGUCGUCGCCGAUGACUGAUGAGGGAGGAAGACGAAGGAAGGAGAACGAAAGAACGUGAGAAGACAGAGAGGGGGGGCAACGGGAGAAAAAACGAAACAAAAAAAAAAAAAAAAAAGAAAGAAGAGAGAAAAAGUUGAUAUUUCUUAAAGAGUGGGUCCCACCUUUACUCGCGUCAUUUGGAGAUAAUAUUCCUCACUAAUCUGAUACGGAAUCUUCUCUCCGUGAUUUCAGUCUCUAAACCAAAAUUCUUGAAAGGCUCUCCUCACUCUUCCUCCAAAAGUUCUAGAGUGGCUCUUCUCAGUUCUUUGAAAUGUUCGUACUGAUCGGAUUCCAGAGUCUCCUCCAGAGUCUCCUCCAAUCUCUCACAUUCCUUUAUACGCACGUGCCGUAGCUUCUUUAAGUUUAAAGGACCAGAAAAUUGAUGCAGAGACCCGCAGCCUUCUAUUUCAAGCAUGCCCAAUGAUUCUAACCUACCUGGAAUCUCAACCACACGAGGGCAAUCUUUUAAAGACAACCGGAAAAGUCCUUGGCAUAGGUCAGGCAACUUCUCUAGCAACGGAAGAUUUUCUAUAUAUAAAGCUAUCAACUUCUCUGAAGCUUCCAAACCUUGAAUCUCUUCUACCUUCCAACAACUACUUAUAAUAUAUACUCGUAUAUGCUUGAAGCUCAAUGGAUCAGGCAACUGUUUGAGUGAUUGACAGUACUCUAAACAAAUAGACUCCAAUGAUUCUAGCUGACCUCGAACCUCAACCAGUUUAGGACAAUAAGAUAUCAAAAAACUACGGAGAUUCAAACCGGUCAGGUCGGGCAACUUCACCAAUGACGGAAGAUGCAAAAGAUUAAGCGAUCGCAGGCUUUUCAAAGGUUCCAGAACUUGAAUCUCUAUUAGCUGUUCACAAUAAGAGAGUUUCAAUUCUGAUAACUUCUCCCAAUAUGAAAGAUUUAUCGACUUUUCCAUUAACCCACGCCCAUCCAAAUGGAAGUAUGACAAAUUCUGAGGAAGCUUAGGUAGCCAUUCUAGGUUAUCUGCGACAAGUUUAAGCUUCCUGAGCUUUGAAAGGAGAUUAAAAUCUAAAGGUAGGGUGACCAAAUCAUCACAAUACAACCCCAAGGACUCUAGCUUUCUUAACCCUCCAAUCCAAUUGAGGCUUGGAGUUGGAUGGGAAGGGCUUUGAUGCUCUAAUUUCAAUGUCAAAACUCUCAAAUUUAUUAGGUUAGACAGAUCUGGGCAUCUCAUCUGUAGAUUAUUGGUUAGGACUAGUUCGGUCAAACUUUCAGGAAGCUUAGGUAUAUUGGAAAUUCUCGUGCCCGAUAACAUCAAGAUUCUUAGAAAUGAUAGCUUUCCGAUCUCACUUGGAAUUUCCCCCCUCAAAUAUCUACAACUGCUAGCAUGGAUCUUUUCAAUCUUCUCCAAUGAUAGUCUUCCAAUCUCACUUGGAUUUUCCCCACUCAAACAUCCAUAACUGCAGGCAUAGAACUCUUCAAGCCUCUCCAACUUCCCAAGGGCGCUAGGUAGCUUUUCUAACAUGGAGUCAAAGAUCCUUAGUAUUCUCAAGUUCUUCAUCGUCUCUAUUGAGUAUGGUAACUCUCGUAUACUUGAACAAGAAAGAUCUAACUCGACAAGAGAUCCAAAAUUUCCAAGUGGAAGUUCACUCAGCAAGCGACAUGACACUGCACUGAGAGUUUCCAAUUUCUUCAUUCCGUUCCAUUCAGGAAUUUUGAUAAUAGAUGUCCCAUCAAGAAGAAGUUCUCUCAAGUCUUCCAUUUCUUCCAUCUCGUCUGGCAAUGUCCGAAGUUUCCCACAAUAUUUCAAGUUUAAUAACACUAAAUGCUUCAACCUACCAAUAGACCUAUGGACUUCAACCAGUUCCGUGCACCCUUGAAGAAUCAGUUGCUCUAAAUUUUCAUGAGCAGAAAGGUCAGGAGUUCUAUGCAAGUUUCCACAUCCAGUCAAAUUUAGAACCUUCAAAUUCUUUGUCAUCUGUAAUGAAGAGAAGAGGUUGAUUCUGAAUACAUUUUGAGAUACUGGACAGCAAAGUCAAUAUAGCAAAUUCAUGUCGAAAUAAUACCGUACCUUGAGGUGGUUCCAUCCCUCCCACUCAUCAGUAAUUUCACUCCUUGAUAGAUCAAGAAUCAUUAGCUUCUUAAGACAAAUUGUCAUGAAUUUGAAAUAGACAGGAAAGUUAUGCCAUGAGAGCAUUAUCAAAUUAGGAAGCAUGAUCGUAUUCCUCUGGCACAAGUUGGUAGAAGGAAAAUGCUGACCGUUGCUCUCAUCCAAGUCUACACAAUCCACUUGAAGAAAUCUUAAUUUUGAUAGGCUUAUAGGUUCUUCCUUCUCAAUUAAGUCUUGAAAUUGAUGAUCAAACCUGAGACAUAUUGCUUCAACGUUUUCUCUUCCCUACCAAAAAAUAAAAAAUAAAAACAUUAAACAAAAGAUAGUGAUCCCAUAAUUGCCAGUUGAAGGCAUUCGAGUUGAAUAUACUUGAGAAUGUACUUCUUACAUAUAAUUUAAAAUUAAUUUGCAAUAUAAUUUACAGAUGAGCAUGUGAUCUUACUAAGCACACAAGUAAUGACUCGGUUAAGAUAGAAGCAAAUAAGCAAAGUCAAUGUGUAUAACUCAUCUCUUUGAAUAGGAACAACAUUGCAAAUACUUUACCUCCUUUAUUUCAAGGACAUCAAUCGAUUCCUCAUGAUCCCACACCCGACUUUGCUUCUCAAUUUUAAAAUGAGCUCUUUCACGAACGAUGUCUCGCCCAAGGUCUCUUAGUUGUUCAUGCACCCACAGUUGGUUACCUUCGACAAUCUUCAUUAACGAUUUCCGUUGGAGGACUUCCAGAGAACAUUCAGGGAAAAGUUUACGGCUGGCCCAAAUGUAAGUCACAGUUCUCACAUCAAACCCAACAAAGAAGCAACAAACAUCGAGAAAUAUUUCCUUCUCUUGAGGUUCUAAUGCCUCAAAACUGAUGUUCAGCUUACUUUUAACCUCUGUAUUGGGAAUAGUUUUCAAUUUUUCUAAUGUUUUCACCCAAAAUUUUCUGUCAUUUCCAGCUAAAAAUGAACCUAUAAUCUCUAGAGCCAAAGGAAGAUUACCGCAAAUUUCUACCGCUAUUUCCGAGAGGUAAAUAUAUUCUGUUGGGGGAUGAUCUCUUCUAAAGGCAUGUUUGCUAAACAGUAGAAGAGAAUGAUCGAAAUCCAUUUCAGUAAGUUCGUACUUAAAAUCAACAUCUUUGAGAACUUCCUCAUUUCUUGUGGUAAUAAUAACCAUACUUCCUCUGCCAUACCAGUAUUCACCUGUCCCUACGAGAGUGUUUAGUUGAGUGCUUUGGUCGACAUCAUCAAGUACAAGUAAAACCUUUUUAGAGGAUAACCUCUCCCUAAUCGCAGUAAUCCCUUCAUUAAUAGUAUUGAUGGAUGACCAUUCCAUUCUUAGGACUUUAGAGAGAAGCUGAUUCUGCAAAAUCACAAUCUUUGUCUCUCGAAUGUUAGACAGGAAGCAACAGUUAUCAAAAUCAGCCAACAGUUUAUUAUAGAUGAUAGUGGCAAGAGUUGUCUUUCCGACACCACCCAUACCAUGGAUGCCAACAAUCUUUGUUCCAGUGGGCUGUGUACCCAUCUUUUCCAUGAUUUUGUCCACAUGAUCGAAUUUUGUUCCAAUGGUCUGUGUACCUAUCUUUUCCAUGAUUUUGUCCACAUGAUCGUCCAUUUCAACCAAGUAAUCAGGUUCUGCCAAGUUUUUCUUUUUUAACUCGAUCAACAGCGUCCGAACAACUUCUUCUGUGAACUCCCCUUUGCCUCUGACAAUAUUGAAGGCAAAAGGACCAAACUGUUAAAUUGAGAUGAACAUAAUAAUACCAAGCUACAAACAAUCAUGAACAAUAAUAAUUUCAAAUACCUCUUCUUGAGUUCCCAUCCUCUUAAGUCUGCAACCUUGCUGAGAGCUGUCUUCCACUUCUCAAUAGUCUCAUUAGUGAACCGCUUCUUAUUUUUGUGUAAAGUAAUGGCCUCACCGUAACCUCCAAUUUGGUAACGAACCUCAGAUGGUGCUAUGUCAUAGAAAAUUGGCAUGAUCUUUCGUCCAAAGUUUUCCUUGCACUCCACCAUCUGGACCAACUCCAUGAGGCACCAUGGACUGGCAGCAUAUCCUUUAGAUAAGAUAGGAAUCGAGAUUUCUGACUGCUUCAUUGCUUGGACAAGCUCCGGGCCAAUCUCUUCCCCAAUGGGAAGCUCUUCAUUAUCUCUAUAUGCCCGUAUUCCGGCACGAAUGAGGCUGGUGUAAAGGUAAUCAGCAAUGUCAAGGCGAGUGUCUGGUCCUCUAAAGCUCAAGAAUACUUCAUAAUCAGAUCCCGUUGGCUUCUCCAUUUCCUGAAUUUUCAGAGGAUUUGCAAUCACCUGAUAUCCCACCAGAAAAAUGUUUACCAUGAAAGCGGAGUGAUGAUUAUCACGAUUUCUCUUAGAAACUCUUCUGUUUCAAGUAUCUCUAGGAAGAAACCAAGAUGACAAAUGCAAGAGCUUCUGUGCUUUGCACUAGACACCAAAAUAUAGUAGAGAAGUAGACCCAUCUCAAUUCUAAAGGAAGAAAUUUCCAAAGUAUUGCGGAAAUAUAAGCUAUGGUUCACACUUGAAAUUGAUUUGAAAGAAUAAUAUUUUGAGAAGAUAAAUCACUAUCAACCUAUAUUCGUCUUAAACUAUUACUUAUGUGAUAAAGUUCCUCUUAAAAGCUGACGUUGAAUGUCCUCUGCACAUCAUGCCUGCUUCUGCUUGUAGAUUGACUAAUUAUCUUAUUGUCUGAUAAGAAAUAAUGAUGAAACCUUCCUCUUUUAUUUUACCAAAAUAUAUUUGACAGACAUUCCACGACCCUCAAUUAGUGUUCUCUUGGCCUUAACGGACGCAGGUGAAGAAUCGCCCCCAAUGAAGAUCUCUAAUUGGAAAGGCGAAAUCAAGAAAUUACACCGGAGCUACUUCAACCCCCUCCGUUGGACUAGUUUCUAAAGAGCAUAAACCGAUCUCCAAUUACAGGCACAGGGUCAAAGGCGAGCAUUAGAAGCUAACGUUCGCAUUUGCCAGAAAGUAUCAGCAUAUCAGAAAAAGAGGGGUGAACUACUAACCGAUAAUGUAGUUGAUGAAAUUUCAACAGAAAAAAGAAGCAUGAAUGCUAUAAUUGUUUUUCCAGAAAAUAAGUUUGAACACGCAGGAGUGCAGGAACAAGAACUGUACUUUACGGAAGCGGGGACAUUACAGUCUAUUCAAUCUGUCUCUACUGUUGAAUACAGUGUUAAGGGUAUCAAUUUCUGCCUAGGAGCAUUCUUACUGCUAAUCACUGGACAAUAACGUAUGAAUUUGUCGUCUGGAAGUCUCUUAAAGAUACCACUGUCUCUGUUCGCACAGAAAUUAAAAGAACAAAAAAGUCCCAUCAAACAAAUGAAAUCAACAGAUCCACUCAAACUAAUUUAGCCUUGAGCGCCAGCAAUCCACGCGAAAACUCAGAGAGAGAGAGAGAGAGAGAGAGAGAGAGAGAGUACGCGGGUGGCGAGCGCGUAAGACUGAGCGUUGUCGAUGAUGGAACCGGACUUGCCUCCUCCUUCGCCGCCGCCGCCGCCGCCGACGAGCUCACUCCGAGGCUCGACACCGCUCGCCUCCGCUUCACCUUCGUGCUGUGUCUUCUUCUUCGCCAUUCCCGCUCUCUGAUAUCAGAAAGUUCCGAUUUUUCGACACGGUACGAGGUCGAGUGGUCAAGGGUUCAGGCGUCGAUCUUGGCGGUGGUAUUGCGUUUCAGGAUCUGAGGCCUGACAGUUGCAUAGAUGGAAGUGGAUGAGCACUGAGCAGGGUUUUAGCAUGCGACUCAAGUUAGAGGCUAAAGCUAUUAGUGUUAGACGCAACUAGCAGUGAUCAAUCAUAUGAAGUCAACUGAGGAAGGAAUUUGAUGCUGAUCUGAGAGUCCCUCUAUUGUUUCCCUCAAAUUCUGCAUCUAGUUGCAUUACAGAACAGACCCGAUUCAAUAAAAAGAAGGCAAUAAACGAGAGGAAAUUACCGGAGAUGGAGGGGGUGAAGAUGAAGAGUCCAGAUCAAAUGCUGAGAAGCAGAUGAAGAUCCCAAGAAUAAACAAACGCUCUUGGCUUUUGAGUUCAGCUCAAGAGAGGCGAGACUUCUAUGAGACGGUGAAUUCACCCUCCCUCGCCGUGCCCCCUUCUAGGAAAGUGAGGGCUUGCUAGUUGCAGGGAAAACUUCAGGCCGACCGAGAAAAAGUGAAUACGCGUUUUGCUCUCGACUUUUGAGCAAACGAGGUGAGUUACUGGGAAAUUUCUCGAAGUCCGGAGACUUUUUGGCACGAUGGGCGAGAGUACAAGAGCGUUUUCGUUGCAUGUUAUUAGUUUAAAAAUCAUACAAUUUAUAUUAAUUGAUAUUCUUUUAACGACGAUGAAGGUGAAUCCUAGGCCCGUUCAAAUUUUACAUAUAUUAAAUCAAAAAAUGUAGAGUUCAUGUAUUUUAAGUAUGUCAGAAGUACACAUAAUGAGUUUGAAAAAUAAAAAGAAAUCAGAAAAAAUAGCGUCGCAAAUGUUAUAACUUCCUCAUAAUACUUAACUAAAUACUAUAACUUGUUUGAGAUUAAGUAAUAUAAUUUUCGUUUGAUGCUCACUUAAAUACAAUUUUUUUUUUUAUCACUAGUGCCAUGACUUGUCAAAAUUGUUCACCCAAGAAUGAAUGUUCCCGUGAGGACCGCUGGCCUACCUCUGUCCUUCUAGGUUCUCCACUUUUGACGCUUCCUCUUUUCUCCAAAUUUUUACUUUAUUUUUUUUAAUUUUUUCUUAAAAUCUGCUGACACGGCAGCUAUAUCAAUGCCUCCAUCUUCAAGGAAAAAAAGUCAUGAUCAUUUUUCCGAUUAACCAAAUUUGAUGGAAUUAAUAGCAGGAUUUGAUCGCACUAAUUUAAUAAAUUUUAAAAUUUUCAAAAAAUGCAAUCAAAUUUUAAAAUUUGAAGGCACUUUCCCAACAUAUUUUAAGAUUUAUGGAGCAUUUAUUCCCUCUUAUGAGAUAAUAAUACAAAUAAUAUUUAAACUUUGGCUUAAUAUGUAAUGUUAUUCUUAAUUUUUUAAUUUGUUCAAUGUGAUAUCUAAAAUAUUGAUAACUGUUCAAUUUAGUCUUUAGAUUAAAUGCAUUAUUUCCAUAUAGUUUAACGACUAGAUUGGAUAUCUGUUAAUAGUUCAUGGAUCACAUAAAAUAAAUUCCAAAUUCAGAGACAACGUUUGAUAUUGGACAAAAUAUAAAGAUUAUUUAUGUCAUUUUUUUCAUUUUUUAAAUCUAAAAAUUUAGAAACUUAAGGAUCGACAAAUAAUUCACAUAUAAUUUUUUUUGAUAAUUUUAUGAGAUUUGAACAAUAAUUUAAAUUUUGACAAAAAGGUAAAAGAACUAUUAUUUAAGUCCAAGCAAAGAGGCACUAGAUCAAUUAAAUUUCGCCAUUUCUUUACGGUGUCCCUUCGUGUGGGCACCAUUUUCAUGGGAGAGACGACUGGUGCGUUGACGCCAAGGAAAGUGAGGACCUGUUGGUUGCAGGGAAACUUCAAGCCGACCAUGAAAAAGGGAAUACGUGUUUUGCUUUCGACUUUUGGGGAAAUUGAGUUGAGUUUCUGGGAAAUUUCUCGAAGUCCAAAGAUUCUUUGGCGCGAAAGGCGGGAGUACAAGAGAUUUUCCCGGGUGUUAUUUGAUUAGAAAUCAUUCAAUUUAUGCUAAUUGAUAUUCUUUUAAUGACAAUAAAACCCUAAUUUUGUAGGUGAAACCCAGGCCCAUUCAAAAUUUUUUUUUUUUGGUAAAGGUAAGUAGCAGGCCCAUUCAAAUUUUAUGUACACCAAACCCAAAAAUGUAGAAUUCAUAUAUUUUAAUUAAGGAAAAAGGCCACAAUAAACCCCAAACUUUAAUAACCGCGACACGUUUAUUUCACCAAUGACAUUUUUUUCUUAUUUUUUCCGUUCUUCCUUUUUCUUUUUCUUUUUCUUUUCCUUUUUUUCUUUUUCUCUCUUCCCGCCGCCAUGGCCAGGAGGGAAGAGAGAAGAAGAAGAAAAAAAAGAAAUUUUUUUUUUAAAAGUAAAAGAUGAAAAUACCCUAUAGUUCAGAGUAAAUGUGUCACAUGAAUACAAGUUCAGGGAUUUUUGUGUCACAAAAAAGUUUAGGGUAAAUGUGUCAUGGUUAACAAAGUUUAGAAUUUUUUAUGUUAUAAAAAAAAAUUGUAAAUUUGUCACUUUGGGCAAAAUUUAGAGUUUUUGGUGGUUUUUGAGUUCGUAUGACAAAAAAGUUAGAAAAAAUAACACCAUAAAUGCCAUAACUUGCGUACAAUACUCACUUAAACACUAUAACUAUUUUUUUUUUUUUUUGUGGAUUGAGUGAUAUAACUUUUGUUGGGCACUCACUUAAAUGUUGUAACCUUUUUCUUUCAAUCACUUGUGCCAUAACUUUUUAAAAUCAUUCACCCAAGUGUUAAAAAUUCAACAUGAUAUAAUAUUCUUGAUGACCGUUUUUAAAAGUCAUAGCAGUUAAGUAAAGUUAUGACACUCAAGUGAAUUCAUUUUAAAAGUUACAGCACAUAAAUAAUCGGGAAAAAAAAUUAUGGCAGUCAAGUAAAUGUCGUACGAAAGUUAUGACAUAUGGGGUAUUUUAUUUGUCAAAAGUUGCAUUUAGUCAUAUGAGGCGGUUUCCACCGCGGUUUCUCUCCCCCUCGCAUGUGAUUCCGAGGGUCAGCUUCCACCGCGCGUGAUGGUGGCUGUAGUGUCAACACCGAUGAACACUAAUAAGGCGGCGGUAGCAAGGGUGGCAAGGGUGACGAGUCGAGGAGGAGGAGGCGGUGCAAGUCGCGUGAGGCUUGCAAGGCCGCCGCUCUAGCGAGGGCUCGCCUCGUGCCUCGACAACAAGGCGAGCCUUCGCCAGAUCCGGCGGGGGCUCGCCCUGCCGUCACUGGGCACGUGCCAACUAGCAAGGUGAGCCCUCACCAAACUCGGCGAUGGCGAGGCCCCCCUCGCCGGAUUUGGCGAGGGCUCGGCCCGCCAACCGCCUCAGUCCGGCAAUCAGCUAGCCCUCUCCUCUGGCCGAUCGCCGGAGCUAAGGGAAGAAGGAGGAGAGGAGGAGGAAGGAGGGAGAGGGAAAAAAAAUAAUAAAAAAUUUCAAAAAAUAAAAUAUUAUUAAAAAAAUGUUGUCGGCACCAACCGGCCAUUUUUAGCCGGAUGGACCGAUCGGGAAGAAUUGUAAAAGUUUUAGGACUCAAUUGAUCAAAAAAAUAAGUUUAUGACUGAAUUGUCACAAUUGCAAUAUGUUUAAGACUGUUUUGGUAAUUUUCCCAUAAAUAAAGCUCCAAAAAUAUUUGCACUACUAGUGAAAGCUUACCAACUAUAUAUGGUUUGAACAGAACUUCCAAGAUUGGGGACAUCAAUAUGUGCAACCAUAGUAGUGUGUUUGGUCAACAUUUAGCAAGUUGGGUAGCCACCUGACCGUUGUGUAGUUGGAAUAUUUGGGGUGAAAUGGUAAUGUCCAUAUCACCACUAGAAGGCAAGGCAUCCAGAAACUUAUUUUUUACCAAGGAAAGUUUUAAGAGAAAAUCAAUUAUCCUAUAGUCCAAAAAUUGGAAAUUACGAAAUUAUAAGUAAAUCAUUAACUACAAAAUGCAACUUAAUUUACAUUUAUAAAUUAUUUAUGAUUAAACAUAAAUUAAUAAAUAUGUUGAUAUGCAUCGAUGAUGAUUGAUCAACAAAAAGAAUUAUUACAUUGUUUUUAAAUAGUGACGGGUAAAUUAAUUUAAAUAACUAUCAUGAUAAUGUACUAUGGAUAUCUAAAUCUAAAGGAAAUGCAAUCAUACUGUAAAAUCUAUGUUAAAUAUUGUUAUUUUUAUUGCAUUUUAUUCUCAAAUUGGUUUCGUGCCAUUUUUCAUUUGUGUUUAUUUUAAGAGAGGCGCUCAUGCGGUUGCUAAUGCCAAAUGUUCAAUUUUCUAAUCAAGAUAUGAAAAAUUGUUUGAAAAUUUUGGAGAAAUAAAGAUCUUGAAAAAAGGAUAGAAAAAUCAAACGAGAAAUCAUCCUAAAGAGGUGCAAAAGUCUCCAUCAAGUACCUUGGAACAUCAUUUAUUUAAAAAGAAAAUUGAAAAGAAAAAAAAGCUCCAAACAGUGUUCAUGACGGUGGAGAUUGCAUUUGUUGUUGCAGGAAUUCAUCCUACCAUAAUCAAAUUUAAUUCGUGAAAUUUAAUCUGCUUUUGGUUUCGUGUGAAAUUUAUUUGCCCACGUCAUUGAUGGAGCUCUUGAAGAAGCAUGGGAAGGUGGUAGAGAGGGCCAAGUUGGCUUUGCUGGAGUCCGACGAGGAACGUUGGCCAACCACCGUCCUUCUUGGUUCUCCACUGUUUGACUCUUUCACUUUUUUCCAAAUAUUUUUUUCAGGAUUUUAUUUCUAGAAAUCUUGGAAUCAAUUUUUUUCCCUUUUUCUUUUUCUUAAAUUUUGCUGACAUGGCAGCCAUUUCAAUGCCUCUAUCUUCAGGAAAAAAAAAAAGUCAUGUUAUUUUCUCCCAUUUACUGAAUUGAAAGGAGUUAAUAGCGAGAUUUGAUUAUACAAAUUUAAUAAGUUUUAAUAUUUAAUUACACUUUUUCAAAUUUAUAAAAUAUGAUUCCACCUUUAUAACGUACUUUAAGACUUAUGUUUAUCCUCCCUUAAAGAUAAUAAUACAAAUGAUCAUUGAACUUGACUUAAUGUGUAAUAUUAUUCCUAAAUUUUUAAUUUGUUCGAUGUGAUCUCACAAUUAUUUAUAGAUGUUCAAUUUAAUCUUUAGACUAAAUUUGCCAUUUCCAUAUAAUUUAAAAAUUAGAUUGAACAUUAUUAAUAGUUCAUGACCGCAUUGUAGAAAUUAAAGCUUAAAAACAAUAUAACAUAUUUGGACAAAGUUCAUCAAAUUAAACGAAUUAAAAAUUUGGGGCUUAUUUAUGUCAUUUUUUUCAUUUUUUAAAAUCUAAAACUCUAGAAACUUAAGCACAACACAUAGAUUCACAUAUAAUCUUUUGAUAAUUUUUUGAAAUUUGAACAAUAAUAUAAAUUUUAACAAAAAAGUAAAAAAAAAAUUACUUUUUACUUUUAAAAAAAAAAACUCCAGACAAGCAUUAAAUCAAUUACUUUUCGCCAUUUCUUUACAAUGUACCUUCGCGUGCCGGAUGUUAAGAGUGAUAAGAUGCAGAGGACACCUUUUUCAUGGGAGAGACGACUGAUGCAUUGCCAUGUUCUUCAGCGAUAUCGUCCCAUCCAUCCAUCACUAUGUCUCUUUCAUCGCACGAUGCGUCGCCAAGAAACACCUGAAGCUCGGCAUGACCGUCCACUCCCACCUCAUCAAGACCGCACUCGCCAGCGACUCUUUCCUCGUCAACCAUCUCAUUGGCAUGUACUCCAGAUGCUCUUCCAUCCGAACCGCCCACAAGGCUUUUGAUGAUCUCGAUACAAAGAACAGUCACUCUUGGAACACCAUCAUAUCUAUAUAUGCUCGGAUAGGCGAUUUCAAGAAGGCCCUCGUCUUGUUCGAUGAAAUGCCGCAGAGGGCUCUUGUCUCUUAUAAUUCCUUGAUUUCUGGGUUGUCCCGUCAUGGGUUUUAUGUGGAGUCUCUGAGUAUCUUCACGCAGAUGUCAAAAGAAUAUGAUUGUCUAUUCGUGGAUGAAUUUACUAUUGUGGGUGUUGUGGGUACCUGUGCUGACCCGGCGCAUUUGAGUUCUUACGCCAGGUUCAUGGAGUUGCCAUCAUAAUGGGCUUGGAAUUUACUAAGAUUACUUAUAAUUCCCUGAUUGAUGCUUGUGGGAAAUGUGGUGGAGCCGAUAUAUGCUGGGCCUUGUUCGACGUUAUGCCUUAAAAGGAUAUUGUGUCGCGGACUUCCAUAGUUGUUGCUUGUACAAGAGCUCAUAACAUAAAUGAUGCUUGUGUAAUAUUCAACAAUAUGCCAGCGAAGAACAGAGUCUCCUGGACUACACUGGUCGCAGGCUUUGCAACAGAACUUGGACUUCAAUAUCUGCAACCAAAAUUGUAAGUUAGGUUAGCACUUAGCAGGUGCGGCGGUCAUCUAUCCAACCUUUAUCUAGUUGGACCACUUGGGGUGAAGUGGGGGUAUCUCUAUUAACCCUAGAAGGAAUCCUGAAAUUUUUGUUUUGCCUAAGAAAAUUUGAAGAAAAAUUUAAUCAUCCUAUUAUUUAAGAUUUGAAUAGUCCAAUCAUUGGAAAUUACGAUUGGUUAUAAAUAUUAUAAAAUGAUAAGUAGAUGACGAAGCACAAAAUAUAAGUCAACUUAAUUAUAUUCAUAAAUUAGCUAUGAAUAAAAAUAAAUAAAUAACAGAUUGGUAUAUUGAUGCUAAUUAUUCAUAUAAAAAUUGUGCCAUUACGAUUUUUUUUUAAAACAAUGACAAAUUAAAUGAGAUUUCUAGUAACGCAAUAUUGUACUAUAGGCUAACUUUAAUUUAUAGUAAACACAAUAAUAUGGUAAAAUCUACUUUAAAAUCAUAAUGCACGUGAUAAAUUACUGAUAGUGUUGGUAACUUACAACAAUAGUUAAAGUUCAUUAAAAUGUUGGUAAAUUUCUGAUGGUGUUAGCAAUUUACUUACAAUACUGUUAAAAUUUCAGAAGAAUUUGCAAUUUACUAAAUUAAUGAAAAACUGAUAAAUUUCAGAUAGUAUAGGUAUUUUACUACGAGUGUACCUAACAAGCAAGAACAGGUCUUUUUUUUUUUUUUUUUUUACCAGCACGAUUGCCAGCAAAAUUGCAAUAUUACCAACAGGGAAGACUUUUCAAUUCUCAAGUCCUGCGGGACCGUAGACUUUCGCCAAAGAUUCAUACAUCUCCGUCCCUGCGACAAAAACUUAAAAGCCCACUAAAAUUUCAAAUGGUGAAAUUUGAAACGCAGUCAUGAAUUCACUCUAAAGCACAUGUAAAAAUCCAUUUUGAGUUAUCAAAACUAAAGAAGCUUUGUGAUCAUUGCACAUGAUCAUUAACGGGAUGAUUAGCCCCUACUUCUUCAUUUCUUCAGUGUGGAAAUUUUGUGAGAAAUCAACAACAAUUCUGUGAAUAUGGAUAUAGUUGCUAAUGUCUACUUAAAUUCGUGACACUGAAUGCAAGACAUUCUCAGGGUAUUGUCUCAAGAACAUCAAUCUCUGUGAAUGAAUUCUGGAUCAAGUCAUCUUCAAUCCUUGAUCAAUUUCACCGAAAGCCAAAAAUUGCCCUUCAUAUCAAAUGAGGCGACAAUGCCGGAAGAGUGCUACUACCAAGGACGGAUAGAGCUGUCGCUUUUCAAAGAAAUUAUUACAAACGAGGGAAAUUUCAAAUCACCUACUCGUAGAAGAAUCCAUUUUGAAAUCAUCUCUCGACUCUAAAUACGUUUCUAACGAUUUUCUCUAAGUUGCCUCUAAUUGAAGAUAAUUUUUUUAAGUUCAAAUCUGACAGGAAGUUUUUCUGCUUGUCGUAGAAAUAUAUUGAUAUUCACAUCACUUAGUCAUACAAGAACUUUACAUUACAAUCAUGGGAUGUCUUCUCAAAUAGGUUGACAAAGUGAAUGUUGCUCAUUCAUAUGAAAAGUUGAGGGUAGGUAGUUGAUACAAUCCGACGACGAGGAACGGAGGUAGGUCGAUACAAUCUCCCUCCCUCCCCCCUGACGUAGGUAUCCAAAGUGAGCUGACAAUCAGAAAAGAACAGGCGAAACAAAGAGAGAUGACCAACAUCACGCCCUCGUGGAACAGAGCAAAGCGCAGGAAGACGUGGUCACAGACUCACAGUCCCAGAGAGAGAUCCCCGCCAGGUUGAUUUGCACAUCGUGCUUCCACUCGGGGUCGCCAUCGCAUUCCUUGACGGACAGAGUCCCUUGCUGCUGGUUCUGGGCGAGCUUCUUGCUCGGGGGUCGUCGCUGACGAUGGAGGAAGAAGGGAAAAAAAAAUGGAGUGAGAAGAGAGACGCAGCUGGAAGAGAGAAGAAAAAGGAGAAGAAAGUCGAAAUUUCUCAAGAGGGGGUCCCAUUUGUACACGUGGCCAUCGAUUUACGGUCUCAAGUAUACUCUAUACAUGGCACAACGUAUUACCCUCCCAAGUUCUUUUGUCGGCCUUGCCAAUUUUUUCAGAUUUGUGCACUCAUCGGAUUCCAAAGUCUGCUCAAACUUCUCAGAUUCACCUAUAUAAAAACUUGCCAGAUUCUUGAAGCUUGAAGGAUCAGUUAACUUUUGCAGAGACCUGCAGUGAUAAAUAGAAAGCCUCUCCAAUGAUUCUAGCCUACCUCAAAUCUCAACCAGAUCAGGGCAACUUACUACAUUAAGUGGCUCAAGCUUCUUGCAAUUGGUCUGACGGAAGAUUCCUAAGAUUUAAGUACUUCAGGUGCCCCGAAUCUUCUAGGCCUUGAAUUUCUUUUAGCUUCCAACAGCCAGAUGUAAGGACUUGUUCUAUAUUUUUGAAGCUUAAUGUACUAGGCAACUUUUCAAGAGAUUCACAGGACAUAAUAUAAAGUAUCUCUAACGAUUCUAGCUGACCUCAAACCUCAACUAGUUUAGGACAAUUUAAUAUCCACUUUCCUUUUAUUGAUGACCAUGGCGAGGGCAAGACUCAUGCUCUGAAAGCCUUAUGAUCCAUCUCUUUGUUCUGUUAGUAUUUUGUCUACAUAUUUAUAUGUCAAUGAACUGAACUUUGGGUUUCUGUUUGUCCAUCUACUUGCGCAAGUGGUAAUAUACUUAAAUACAUUACCAGAUUUCUUCCAACCCUCUUCCUGUUUGCUUUGCAUGAAGCCGUCCUCUAGAAAUCUUACUUUUCUAAGCUCUGCGAGCCCUAUAUAAUCCAUUACACAGCUAAUCUUUUGAUUAUACCCUAUCCUGAAUUUGAUCAUUUCUUAUGUCAGGAAGAAUGAAUCAGGCUCUCUCAUGUUUUUAUGCCUUUGCUCGAUCUUGGUAUUCACAGUCCAUGCUAAUCGUUGGGUUUAAUGAGCACUUUCCUUGACUCCUCGUUAGUGGUAAGUGAUUUUGCAACAAUAUCUCUAUCAGCGUAAUGAGAAUUGUCAUUCUCACGCUCUGAAUUGAAUUUGCUACAAAACCUAUCCUUUGCUGUUGUCGCCAAGCCCGUCAUACUGAUGCACUGUGUCUAUUUACUUUCAGAUAACAUCGCAUCGAUGUGGAAAAGAAAUUCUGAGUCGAACACUUUUCCACUCGCUUUAUCUCUGGAAUGUCGACCCAUCAUGAUGUAUUAGUAAUUAGAAGCAAGCCAGUCUUGCUAAGGAGUGAAAAUUUUUUUUUUUUUUUGGUAGUUUUUUUUUUUUUUUUUAUAUAAGUUUCUUUGUACUACAGAACUAAUUCUGCGAUGGUAUUCAUGUCGAGAGAGCGGCAAGAAAAGAGAUUCCGGCAUAUUGCAUAUAAUUUCUUUGAACGCAACAUGUUGGAAACCGCCUCUAUUUUCAUUUUCCUGUAUCGUGCAUAUUAAAAGAAAAACAAGAGAACAGAACCAACUUGACCUGGUUAGUCAUUUGAUGAUUUGGUUCUGUAUUUUUGGCAGGGUUCACAAUUCAAUCGAUCCUAUUUAUUUAAGAUGAGUUGGUUUGUGAAAAGAAAUUUAUGUAAAAAGCGGAAACUUCUAAUUUGACUUCAUCUAGAGAUCGUCAGUUUUCUUGCCGGCUUGUUGGUCAUUCCUAGGAUCUUAUACUUUCACUUGCUUUCCUCACUUCUUGAAUCAAAAUUCCCUUGCGUGUACAUUCAAAACAACAGGCUUUGAUAAUUUGUCGACAUUUCCUAGUACUGACACACAAAAGUCAUCUCCAUGUGUGAUUUGCACCAAGAUUUGCAGUUUCACAUCUCAAAGGGGAGGAUGUUUGCUUGACCUCGGCACAAAUGUCUUUCGGGAUGUCUCAGAUGCCGGUCUCUUGAGCUGGUGAAUCCUUCUCCUGUUCUUCUGUUCCUUUCAGCUGGUGAAAUCUUCUACCCUGCUCUUCCUCCAGGAAGGCGUAGCGGUCGAUUGAUCUGUUUGUGGAGAUAAAAUUUCUCCUCUCUCUGAACCUUCAAUCUCCUCUGCAUUAAUUUGUAUAACACCGACCACUCCAGUUAGUUAUGGUACGCUCUGCCCUCAUGCAGAUCUCCUACUUCUUAUGUCCAAAUAGACUUGUCUUUGAAUCGUGUCAGCUACAACCCAUCAGUGCCAGUGAAACUCGGCCAAACAACAGUGUGCAUUAGACAGAGAAAAGAGAGCUCUUUCUGCUCACACACAUUUUAUCAAAUGUUACCAUGGUAUGAACGAUGAAGAGAAAUCGAAGGAUGAUGACUCUCCAUGAACUAACAAACGGCGGCAUCAACUGGCAUUUCCAUCUCAUAAGACUUGAAGUCUGAUUCACUCAGUUCCUCAUAAUAAGACAUUAAGUCCGAUUCACUCAGCUCCUCAUAGGCCUUGUAAUCAUCCGUAAUGGCGAUGUACCCAUCUCGCUUCAUCUGUCCUAAGAGAGACCUUAACAAAAAAUAAAUAUCACCCUUAUGAGGGUACCUCUUGUCCUUGACAAUGAAGACAAGAACUUGACCCUGAAUUUCUAUCCAUCUACAACCAGGCUGCUUGACUACUCCCCGUUGCCUCAUCAGCUUCCUUAUUCUGAGUUCUGACAACUUCGCCCCAUUUUUUGCGUUCUGCAUACAUGUUCAAAAGCAGAACGUAAGGUCCGGAGUUCGAAGGGUCGAUCUCUAAUAGCUUCUCUGCUACGUACUUUCCUAAUGUUAUACCUUAUGAACUUUGCAGGCUGCAAGCAGCGAACCCCAAACGACAAUCAGGUUGCAUGGGCAUUGUCUCUAUUAAGUCCUUAGCUUCACUGAGACAACCGGCUCGGCCAAGUAAAUCAACCAUGCACGUAUAAUGGUCCUUUACCACUGCCAGAUCAUACUCCUCAACCAUCUGCUUGAAAUAAUGGCGCCCCUCUUCGACCAGCCCUGCAUGGCUGCAAGCACAUAGAACCCCGAUCAUAGUGACACGGUCUGGUCUCUCGCCAGAUACCAACAUUUUCCUGAAUAUUUCAAGCGCCUCUAUUCCAUAACCGUUCUGUGCAUAUCCAACAAUUAUGGCAUUCCAUGACACCUUGUUCCUCUCCAACAUAUUCUUAAACACCCAUAAACCAUCUUCCACAGCUCCACAUUUAACGUACAUGUCUAUAAGAGAAUUUCCAAAAAAAAUAUCUGAUUCUUCUCCAGACUGGAAGCGGAAUCCAUGCUUCAGGACAUGAGCGUGAGCCUGCUGGCCCAACUGCAAAUCGGCAAGAUUCGCACACACAUUAAGCAAAUUUCCGAAUGUGUAGUGCAUCGGCUCAAUGGCUUCCCUCUUCAAAAGGUGAACCAAAUGCUUCUUCAUUCUGUCCAUUCUGUGUAUACUCUGCAAUGAGAGCAUUCCAAGAAACUACAUUCUUCUCCACCAUCCUCAUGAACAUUACUCUUGCAGUUUUGAGACUGGCUGCUUUUGCAUACCCGCUCACCAUGGAGGUGGCUGACACUAUAUUUCUGGUAGGCAUUCUAUCAAAAACUGCUCUGGCCUCACUAAUUCUGGAGCACUUAGAGUACAUAUCAACCAAUGCAUUUCCUAAAACAACAUCAUUCCUAAAUUUGUCACAUUUUACAAUAUGGGCAUGAAUUUGCAUCCCUUCCUUAAGUGCUGACAAGCUAGCGCAGGCGCUGACCACACUGGCUAAAGUAACCUCAUCUAUUUCAAACCCACAAUCUAUCAUGCUCACGAAAACCUCAAGAGCUUCACUGGCUGGACCAUUUUGUUCAUAACACGUAAUCAAGCUGUUUCAAGAAACGAUAUUUCGAGAAUUCAUUUCAUCAAAAGCCCUCUGUGCACAAGCCACGUUCCCACACUUGGAGUACAUGUCGAUAAGAGCAGAGCCCAUAUGAACAUCAGAUGAGCACUUGGACUUCAAUAUCAAAGCCUGAAUCUGUUGGCCCAGAUACAUAUCUGCUAACCCGGCACAUGCGCUAAAUGCACUACCAAAUGAGUACUCAUUAAGCACAUAAUUCUCCCUAUGCAUCUUACCAAAACGUUGCAGGGCUUCUUUGAAUCUUUUGUGCUGCGCAUAACCUGAGAGCAUCGAAUUCCACAAGCACUGGUCGGGUUCCGGCAUUGACCUGAAUAUCUUUUCCGCUUCAUCAAGAGACCCCGAUCUGAUCAACCCGCCUAAGAUCGCGUUCCACGUGAAGGUAUUCUUCUCGGGCAUUCUAUCAAACACCCUGCGGGCGUCGUCAGGGCACCCGCAUCUCGCGUAGACGUCGAUGAGCCGGUUCUGGAUAAAAACCUCGGCGGAGAACGGGGUCUUGAUGAUCCGAGCGUGGACGCGGCGUGGGUGGCGGGCUGACUUGGACAGGCCGCAGCCGUCCAGGAGCUUGGCGAAGGAGAGGUCGCCCGCCAGAGCCUUGACCCGCGCAUGCCUCGCCAUUCCAUCAUAUCAUCGUACGAAGCGAACUCUGUCGGAGAAGAUUCGCAUAGAUGCAAAUUGAGUGCGAUGGAGAGUUUCUGUUGACCGUUACAUGCUUCCCCACUUCAGCCAGACGGACGGGAAUAUGUCGAGAGCGCUUAUAUGAAGAGCGAUGGCAAAGUCGCAGUGGCAAAAUGGUAAUUUCGGCAUGACAAUAUAUUAAUUAGACUCGUGACCAUGAAUUAUAUUGUUGGUUAUGAGUAAAUCUAAGCUACAAAUUAAAAUGUGUCAUAGAUUUAAUAUCUUGUUGUAAGUCACUAAAUAAAAAUAUUUCAUAUUUAUAAUCUAUACAACUUAUUGCUUUAUCAAUUAUUAUUAUAAGUUUAAUAUAUGACAGAUCAAUUUUAUAACCGAGUUAUUUACAAAUCAAACAUAAAUUCUUGUCUAGUAAUUUUGAUUAUUUUAAGUAAUUCAUCAUUAAAAAAAUGCAAAAAGCAAUUCUAGAGAAUGAAAAUUGGAUCUAUGUCGGAUUACAUGGGAUAGCUUUUCAAUGGCCCCCCUCCCAUGAGGAAUAGCUAACCUUGAUUUUAAGAGUAUAGCAACUUCUCUGAAGUAACUAAUCUUGAUUUACUUCUUAGCCAACUAAGGACUAAGUGUCUCAUCAUGAAUAGGCCAGGAAUAGAUAGUUACUGUGUCGUUCUUGGAUUAAUCCAAAGUACUACUCACUUUGGUCCGUCCCAUUUUGAGUCUCAUGGUUUUGUCCUUCAAGCAUAUGGGCAAACACUUUUUCAAUAGACUAUUGUGACAUUUUUGGAUUAAUUCACUUGAAAUAUUAUCCGCUUUUACUCAUUUCAUUCCGAGUCUCACGAUUUUGUCUUUGGGCAUAUAGGUAGACACUUUCUGAAAAGGUAACCCAUGUUAAUAAUAUUCUAGUCUAAUCACACUCAACUUUGGAGUGGAAUUACAGAUAGGUGAAGUGCCUACCCAUAAGCAGGAGAUCGUCCUGUUUUGGUAAGAAAAAUCAAUUAACCUUCUAAAGUGUGCGUUCAUGUGAGCCCUUGCGAGUAGGGGUGAGCAUGGUCCGGGUUGGUCCGGGCCACCCCCUAAGCCUAGGACCAACGCGUACAGUGUCGGUCCUCAAUUUUUAGGACCGAGGACCGACCCUAUUAAGCUUGGGACCAAGGACCGGACCGACCCAAUGGGUUCGGUCCGGUUCCAGGGUCAACCCGGGACCGAUCAAUGAUUUUUUUCGUCUUAUUUUUUGUACUCCAUAAAAAAGCAAACCUACAAAUUCAAAUUACACAUCUAUCGACAAUGCAACAUUGUGCAACUAAACUAUAAUUAUCAAUAUAUAUUUAGCAAAUUUAAGAUGACACAAUAAUAAAAAUUUCGUACAUGCUAACCGCUCAUGGAGAUAUGGGACAAGAUGGAAAGUUUUUGUAAUCAUCACUUAAUUAGCAAAUCACCGUAGAAUUGCAAUACUACUCUACUCUUCAAAAACUUCUACUAUUUGACACAAAUUGAAAAGCAAAGUGCAGCUGAAAUUUAUUAGUAGAAUACAAUUAAAUUAUAAAGAGUUCAAAAUACUUAAUAUAAACCAUAAAUAUAUAACUUCACAUAUUGUUAAUUCACCUUAAUUUCUAAAAACCUGAAAACAAAACAAACGACACAUAAUUAAUACUCAACAAAAGUUUUAAAUUUAAAUUACUAUUAGUGCUAUUGAUAGAAUAUCUCAAUAUAAUAUAAUAUAACAAACAUUUUACUUAGGUUUGAAUAUAUAAAAGAAUUAUAAAUAAUAUAAUAUAAUAUACAGGGUUGGUCCAGGGUUGGACCAACCCAAAACUCUUAGGACCGAGGACCAACCCACACAGUGUUGGUUCUGGAAUUUCAGGACCAAGGACCGACCCAGUCCCCUUGGGAACCGGACCAGGACCGGCAGGGUUGGGCCGGUCCAGGGUCGGUCCAGGGUUAACCCUAAACCACUGCUCACCCCUACUUGCGAGGGAGAGCUUCGUGAUAAGAAAUGAAGCCCAUCUGAAUCCACAUCCAAUUUUUCAAGGCUUUGCAACUCUUUCGGCUUUAUGCGACCAAGAACCGUCAUAGCUGAGAGUUGUCUCAGGUUUUAGAAAGGUCUAUUGAUGUUCUUAUUUCCUAGCGAAGUAUGAUAUGUAAGACGGACAAAACUCCUGGGAAGUCUAGGCAAGAACCUGAGGUUCUUAAAAAUCGAGAACAAGUUUCCUGAGCUUGCAACUCCAAGGACUUCAGAUGGUGUAACCUGUCAAUCCACCGAGGAUCAUGGAGCUUCCUCACGCCCGUAACUGUCAUAAGAAUACCUCGACACAUACAAACGCAAGCUUCUCGGAUUUAAUUGGUAUGGGAGAUCUGGAAAUCUGUACAUUGAGAAAAUUACAAGCACAGAUUAAUUCCAAGCCCACAACACCGUAGAAUUUUGCCCUAAAGAUUCAUACAUUCUCUACUUCUGCAACAAGAACUUAAAUCCCAAUUGAUAAUUUCAAUUGUUCAAACAUGAAACACAGUCAUUAAUCAUUCAGAAGCCCCUGUAGAAAUUUGUUCUAAGUCAUCAAAACUAAAGGACCUUUGUGACCAUUGCACAUGAUGACUUAUCAAAACCAAAGGACCUUUGUGACCAUUGCACAUGACCAUUAAAUAGUGAGGGUUAUGUUCAUGCUAGACAAGAUGUUUUGCCCCUACUUCUUCAUUUUCUCAAUGUGGAGAUUUUCAUGGGAAAUCCGCAACAAUUCUGUGAAUAUGGUCACUGAUGUCUAAUGGAAGUCACGACACUGAAUGCAACACAUUGAACAUUAAUCUCUGCGAAUAAAUUCUUAAGCAAGUCAUCUUGAAUCCUUGAUGAAUUUCUCCCAUGAUGAGAUUAAUUACUAAUUGCAACCGCUAAAAUUUUUAGAAGUAGGACCAUAACAGACCCAAAAAGGAAGAAAAAUUCCAGAACCAAUCGAUUAUAGUAAGUUUUCAUGCCUUCUAGGACAAUGAUUCGGUUUUAGCUAGACUUAACAAGCUCAGAAGAAGAACUGCUUCCCAUGUAUGUUUUGAACUACUUCCUAAGGAGCGAAAAUCAAUUCUCUAAUUGGUGCAGAAGUGAACUGAUGCACAGGAGUUGCAAUGUGUUUCAAUAGAAUGUGAUUUGGUUAAGGCUAAAGCUAUCAAAGAUUAGAUGCGCAGAUGGAACAAUAUCAAUUGAGUCAGCUGCCGAGUGGGUUCAUGGAAAGGCUGUUUUCAUUCCGUAUAUAUGAUAAGUCAUGACUGAAAAUAAUAAGAACAACUCAAUCCGUCCAAAUCUUUUCCUAAUUUAUCACUGAUGCAUUAAAGAUUUGCACACGGACCCAAUUCAUGCAACAGCAAAGAGACAAUUACCAGAAAAGGAAUACAAGUGAAGAACUGCGUCUAUACAGAGUUUUGAGUUGCUGGCCAACCACUGAAAUCAGGUGCGCAACCAACAUUUACUUUCUACCAUUAACCAAACUCAGAAGUCCAAGAGAUAAAAGUAUCUUAAAAACAACAAAAAGAUACUCUAAGUUGGAUUCCGCAAGAUCAGACUGCGUCUAUUCCUCAAGUACUUCACUGAUCAUCAGCACUCAAGAGAACAUUCUACCUUCUCACGCUUGAGUGUAUAAAAUGAUUUUAGCUUCUUGAUCCGGUAACUUCUCCAAAGAUUUAAAAGGAACCUAUCGAAAGUUGCCUCCAACGAUUUUACUCUGCCUCGGAUCUCAACCACUUUAGGACAUCACUGCAGGUAAAAUUUCUGGAGCUUCUUCAGGUUCGUCAGGUCAGGCAACUUGUCCAUAGAUGGAACUCCUUCAAGCUUGAAGGCAAUUGGGUUCUCCAAAACUUGGAGGCUUCCGAACUCUCUCACUUUAGGGCAACGACCAACUUCCAAAUCUGACAGCGCCUUCCAAUUUGAAAGGUCUAUUCACGUUUUUAUUUCCUUGCAUGAUUCGGUAUCUAAGUACAACAAAUUUGGGGGAAGGCCAGGUCGGCAGUGCAGCUUCUUGGAGGGGACCAGUUCAGGUUCCUUGAGCUGUGAAAGAAAAAUGAUGUCUGAAGAUGGGGUGAUGAAAUAAUGAGAGUCCAACAGCAAGGAUUCCAGCUUCCCCAACCUUCUGAGCUACAAAGGACUUGGAGCUUCAAUGAAUUUAGAAGCAUCAUCCAAAUUGUCAAAACCUGAAUUUUACAUGCAAUUUGGAUAUUGAAUUAGUAAGUUACUUAACAUCAAGUGAAUGUACAUAAUUUUUUUUUUAUUACUUUACGCAAUUAACCUUAAAAAGAUAUGUAGAAGUGCUAAUCUAAACAUCCCUAAACUCCGAACGAAUCAAUAUGUAUAAUAUUUUUGAGGGAAUGAGUUGACGUUCAGUAAAUGAUAGCUCUACUGCCAAAAUGGGAGGCCUACCCACUACUCGACCUGAGAACAUAACAAUAACAAUUAGCAAAUAAGGUCAUAUAUUAUUAUCAAUAGGAAAACCAAUAUUCACCUGAGACAGUGUAAUCCGUGCAUUAUAUAAAAAUGACUAUAAUUAUCUGUGCUAUGAAUAAAAUAGAAGCAAUGCAUGACAUUCGUUUUAAUGCUAAAAUGCACACAAUUGAUCAUACCAAAUCUCAUUAUGCAUAGACAUGAACAGCUCAUCGAUAGACACAAGUAAAUAUCUAUUACCUACUUGCUACUAGCCAUGACUCAUCUUGACUAACUCAACUAACAAGACAUUAUGACCACUAAAUAAUGCAAGAAGAAAUCAUAAAUACAUAUUUACCACGCUUCAACCCAUUCCUCACAGGUAUCCUCCAACGAUGAUAAAUACAGUACAAACACAUAAUGACAGCUAUCCUAGACUCAAUUCUCAUCAAGAUUCAUACCCAUUCUAUUUUCUUUCUUUUCUCAAUCUUGGACCUCAAGUUCAUAAUAUCAUAUAUAGGCUAUUCAAGUCACAUCAGGUUACACAAGUCAUAUAAUUUCAUGUAUAAAUCAUUGUACUUUACAUUUUCUCAAUCUUAUAGAGAACGGUAGAACAUCUGUCUUUUCCCAGAAUCUUAUAUACAUACUCAGAAAAAUUAAUUAUAGUGUUGGUAUAUUGCUAACAACACUUGUAGAAUUUCAAUGGAGUUGGUAAUUUACUUACUAUGGGGAACAAGCACACUUGAAGAGUGCAGCACAAUGGAAAGUUGUAUGUCGUGUUCAAAAGUAUUGUUAUUAAUUUACUUACGAUACUGGUUAAAUUUCAAAUGAGUUGAUAAUUUACUACUUCAUUGAAAUAUUAGUAAAUUUCUGAUAGUGUUAUUAAUUCACUUACGACACCGGAGAGUUUCCAGAAGACUUGGUAAUUUACCAAUCUAGUGGGAAAUUGCUAAAUUUCUGACAGCUUUGGUAAUUUACUACCUCUUUACCUAACAAGCAAGUAACCAGUCAUUUUCUUUUACCAAACAAUUCCAAUUUUGCUGGUAAUACCACCAAAAAUUUCAAAUGAUGGAACUAGAAACGCAGUAAUGAAUCCACUCAGAAGCACCUGCAGAAAUCUGUUUUAAGUUAUCAAAACUAAAGAACCUUGGUGACCAUUGCACAUGAUCAUUAUCUAGGGAGCGUUUUAUGUUUAUGCUAGACACAAUGUUUUGCCACUACUUCUUCAUUUCUUCAAUGUGGAAAUUUUGAUGGGAAAUCAGCGACAAUUCUGCGAAUAUGUUUGCUGAUGUCUGAUAGAAUUCGCGACACUAAAUGCAACACAUUCUCAGGGUAAUGCCUUGUGAACAAUAAUCUCUACGAAUGAAAUCUGGAGCAAGUGAUUUAAUCACUAAGUAAAGUAGGACCACAACAGACCAAGAGAAGAAGAAAGAAAUUGCAGAACCAAUCAAUUAUAGUAAGAUUUCAUGCCUUCCAGGACAAUAUUUCAGUUUUAGCUAGACCUCGACAAGCUCAGAAGAACAACUGAUUCGCCAUGUAUGUUUUGAACUAGUUCUUAAGGAGCGAAAAUCAAUCCCCUAAUUGGUGCAGAAGUGAACUGACGCACAGGAGUAGCAAUGUGUUUCGAUAGAAUGCGACUUGUGGUUUAGACCAAAGCCAUUAAAGAUUAGAUGCAGAUGGAAGAAAAUUAACUGAGUCAGCUCCCAAGCGAGUUCAUCGAAAGGCUGUUUUCAUUUCGUAGGUAUGACAAGUCACGACUGAAAAUAAUAAAAAACAACUCAAUCCGUCCCAAAUCUUUUCCUAAUCUAUCACAGAUUACAUCGAAGAUUCGCACGCGGACCCAAUUCAUGAGAAUGCGAAGAGAAAAUUACCAGAAAACCAAAUAAAGAUGCGAAGAAGGAAAAAGCAAGACCUUUUUCUAGACGACCUACAAAACUCUCGUGGGAACAGAUCGGGGGGCAGGAAGACGGGGUGGCAGUCCCCGGAGGGAGAUCUCCGCCUCGUCGAAUCGCGUCUCGUUCUUGCGCUCGGGGUCGCCGUCGCACUCCUUGACUGUUGGAGUCCGUCGCUGCUGGUUCUGCGCGAGCUCCUCGCACGGGUCGUCGCUGAUGAGGGAGAAAGACGAUGGAAGGAGAACGAAAGAACGUGAGAAGACAGAGAGGGGGGGCAACGGGAGGUAAAACGAAACAAAAAAUAAAUAAAUAAAUAAAGGAGAGAGAAAAAGUUGAUAUUUCUUUAAGAGUGGUCCCACCUUUACGCGUCAUUUGGAGAUAAUAUUCCUCACUAAUCUGAUACGGAAUCUUCUCUCCGUGAUUUCAGUCUCUGAACUAAAAUUCUUGAAAGGCUCUCCUCACUUUUUCAAUAAGGCCUCGUACGUUUUUAUUUCUCGAAUUUGUUUAAAAAUAGAUUUUGUGAUUUUUUAUUUCUGUAAACAAAAAAAGAACAGAAACGCGUUUAUUUGCAUUCCUGUUCUUUUUUUAUUUUUUCGUUCCCGAAACAAAAUUGAAACAAAAAAAAGAAACAAAAAAAACUUACUUCUGGAAUCCAGAAACACUUCUUGAAGGCCUAAAAAGAACAAAAAUAAAAGAAUAAAACCGGAACACUUCUGGAGAUGGGUUCGUUCGUGCCUGAAGGCUUUCGUUCAUGUUCUCCCUUUCCCGGCGUCUCUCCCUUCUCUCCGGCGCCUCCCACUCGGUCGACUCUUCGGCGACUCCCCACUCCGCCGACUCUCCAGCGCCUCCCCACUCAGCUGACUCUCCGGCGCCGACAGGUGGUGCUCCUUCAUCGGCUGAAGCUUCCGAAUCCAGGUAAGUUUCUGCUGCUCCUCCUUCUCUGUUCGAAGAGGGCUUCAGCGAGAGCCACCCCUUGCAAAUCUAAGCCACCUUCGCCGACAACCGGGACGCUCGCUCCAGCGACAGCUCGCUCGAGCCUCAAGCGAGCGUUGCUCGCCCAGAUCUAUGGCAGAUUUGGGCGAUGGUUGCUCGCUUGAGGCUGCUCUACCGAGCUCGAGCUGCUGUGGUUGCUCGGCAGAGCAGCUCGGGUUGCUCGAGUGGCAAAGCAGCCUCUCUGCCAACUCGAGCGAGUGACGCCGAGCCCCAAGCGAGCCAUCGCCCAGAUCUACCAGAUUUGGGCGACGGCUGCUCGCCGGAGCUGCUCUGCUUGCUCGGUAGAGCAGCGCAGCUCGAUCGAGCGAGCUACUCUGCCGAGCGAGCUGCUCUGCUGAGCGAGCAGAGCAGCGUAGCUCGGUCGAGGGAGCUGCUAGCUCGCUCGACCGUGGCUGCUCUGCUGAGCGAGUAGAGUAACGGAGUAACGCUCGCUCGAGCGAGAUUGACUAAUUUCAACUUCGAGUUUCGGCAUUUUUCCCUUCCAUCUCUCCUCCUGCUCGCCAGCCGUGCCCUCACACAUUCUCUCUCUCUCUCUUCCUCAGCUUUGAUUUUCCGAGUGAUUCCGUCGGAUUUUCCCAAGAAAAUUUGUCCAAUGAGGUAACGCUUUCGGCUCCCCCUCAAUUGUUUCCGCUUCCCCUCCUCUCUCUUUUCUCUAUUUCUUUUCGUCUCCGUUGACCCGCGGAAAUGCAGGCUGCAGGAAGAGCUCUCGCCUCGGGCCCCGUUCGAUUCGUCUCCGGCUCAUUCUCGAGGGAGUCCGUGGAGGGCUAAGUGAAAGCGCGCUCCUUCCCGCGGUACAUUCGAUCUCAAGGUGGUAAUAAUCCGAAUCUCGGAGUCUGCAGCGUGCCGCGUCAGUUUCAAUAGGACCCUAGAGCUUGCACUUGUUCCGCGGCGAGCGAAGGGUGAAAUCUAGAGGCGAAAAACUUGAGCUUUUGAAUGAUUUGGUGGUUUCCGUUGUCGUUUGUUUCGUUGUGUGUCUUUUAUCAACUAGUGAGUGAGACGAUGAAAGACUGAUGCUUGGGGGUAUCGUACGCCAACCCUUUGUCACUUUUCUUGAAACUCUUCACUUUUUGGCUUGGUUGGAGCAUAGUUCUCUCUCUCUCUCUCUCUCUCUCUCUCUCUCUCUCUCUCUCUCUGAUGAUUCCUUCAAGUUGCCAUUUUGUCCCAUGUUGUUGCAAUAUGAUUCUAUGCUUGAAAUUUCGAAACUUGAGUAUUGUCCAUAAAUUUGGCAAUUCCAAUUGGUCUUUUGGUCUGUCGAUCAGUAAUAUGUACCGCAGCCCCAAAAUGUGACCUUGGACCAGUAAUUCUUGCUCCAACCACGUGCUUUCUUUAUUUCAUUCUUUUGUGUGCUGAAACUACUAUAGAUGCUAUUAGAUAAACAAAAGUUUCCAUUCCUUGGAACAAUUUUGUAGGGGGAGCGAGAUAAAAUAAAAGAGGCUGUAAAAAUUUAGUUCAGGGGCAAGAUAUAAGAAUGUUACAUGAAAUUUUAAAAGUUAAAGUUAACAGAAGGCACUAAGGUCCAUCAUUAUUUGCACGAGUGAAAAAGGUGAAUCUUGUCGUCUAAAUUCCGUUUGAAUUCCUUCUACUUAUUCAAAGAAACCUAAAGUUGAUAAAGAUUAACAAACUGGCAUUUGCCUCAUGGCUUAUUUCGAAAGAAGGUAAGAACCAAGGGUAAUGCUGCCUUGUGUUGGCUGAAAUUCAUAGUUGCAUAUUGUAUGUAACAUUACAAUGAAAUGCUCAGGCUGAUCAUUUGGAUUUCACAGCUCAAAAAUUGGUUGGAGAGAGAGCAUUCUGUUUGAUUGAUCAUUGCUAGUCAUAGUACUAUGUAGUUCUUGUAGCUCAAAUGCAACUUAUGAUCUGUUUUACACAAGUUAGUUCAAGAAUUAUCAUUUUUGAAAGUUAAGUCUUCUUGGCUUGCAUCUCUUGAGAAUGCUUUUGUGUAUGACAUAUAUAGUAUUAUGUUAUUGAUUUAACUGAUAACUCAUAUGCUGCUCAAUCGAUCAAAGAUUAAAUGGCAUCUGAGGCACAGAAAUUCAGUGCAAAGUGGACCAAGUUGGUGACCAACCUAUUUAUCGGUUUGUUGGUGGAUGAGGUCAAAAAGGGAAAUCGAACCUCUUCUACUUUCAACAAAGCAGGUUGGAGGAAUAUCCAGACUGAAUUUGUUAUACAAACAGGAUGCCAAUAUAGCAUGGUCCAGCUAAGAAACAAGGUGAAUAAAUUGAGAAAACAGUAUGGUAGUUUUCGGAAACUUAUGUCUCAGUUUAGAUUUGGUUGGGAUAAUGUCAAUAAAAGAGUUGUUGUCGACAAUCCAAGCAUCUGGGAAGCUCACAUCAAUGUAUCUUUUUUUUUUUUUUUUUUUUUUUUUUUAACUUUUUCGUCAUUUUGAUGUCAUUAUAUAUGUAUAUUUUAAAAUGUAUGAUUAUAUUGUUGAAAUGUCAUUACUGUGAAAAUUGUAGGAGAAUGUAGAGUGGGCCAAAUUCAGGAAGGAUGGAUUUCCCUAGUAUCCCGAGCUAUGUUUUGUAUUUGGUGAUACAUAUGCUGCUAGAGAAUAUGUCAUUAGAAAUGCUCAAGAUGUGACGGUGUCGAAGGAAGAUGACAACGGUGAUGGCAAUGGAGGUGGUGCCAACAGUGGCUACAAUGCAUAUGGUAACAACAGUGGUGGCAAUGCCUAUGGUGAUGCUGGUGGUGCCCAUAUAGAUGACUUCGGUGAUCACCACACUGAUGAGAGAGUCUUCACAUCAGACGAUGUUGGAAUUUCAACUCGUGGAAAGCACAGAUUGGAUAGGACUCCAAACAUUAAGAGGAGAAGGAAGAGUACCCAAAACAGUAUUGAUGACACUUGCAAAACCAUACAAGACUUUUUGAAAGUUAAGUCAAGUCAUCUGGUAGUGGCUCUGUGACCUCCGGGGUUAUGCCAUCACCUGUGGACCCUUUCUCCGUAGAGGCUGUGAUGGAUAUUCUACUUAGUAUGCUCGAGAUAGACUAAGAUGUUUACAACAAAGCAGUGGAUCAAGCAUGCGAUAGUGUCUCAUGGAGGGUGGCUUUCAUUAAAUUCACACCUGAAAGGAGAAAUGGACUUUUUUUAUCAUCUUUAGUAGAUGUUUGGAAAUAUAUUAUGGAUUGAAUGGCCUUGCAUUAGAUUGUAUAACUUUAUGUUAUGUAUUAAUAUUUAGUUUUUAAAGAUAUUAGUAUUGAGACUCUUGGUACUUAUAUAUAAUGGUAUCUUUUAUUGAGACUAUGACUUAUGUUAUUGAUUGUUAUUGGAUAUAUUUUCAAAAUCUAUAUUGAUGUUUGUAUAUUUUUGUGAUGGUAUAGGUACUAUGAAAGAGGGAUCAGAUAGUAUAUGUAGUGAACAAGUAGAACAAGUUCAACAAUUCUUGGAUGAUGAUGAUCUUCGCAUAUUCCUAGCGUGGUUAUGCACGGUUGCGAUUAACACGUCCGUGCAUACAAGAGAACCUAUUAGGGACAGCAAAUUAUUAGGAUCCGAAUGGAUAAUGGAGAUUGUUUCUGGACAUUCAGAUAGGAUAUAUGAAGCCUUCAGGAUGGAGAGGCAUGUUUUUAUGAAUUUAUGUGAUUUGAUGAGAGUAAGAGAUUGGUUAAAAGAUAGUCGAUAUAUUCGAAUAGAUGAACAAAUUGGGAUAUUCUUAUCUUUGGUUUGUCACGGUAGCUCAAAUAGAGAUUUAUGUGAGAGAUUUCAACAUUCUGGAGAAACGAUCAGCAAGUAUUUCAACAAAGUGUUGAAAGCAAUUAUCAAACUUUCAAAAGAGAUAAUCAAACCAUUGUCCUUUGAUGUCAUCCCACAAGAAAUUCUUAUGGAUUCUAGUCAUAAGCGCUACUUCAAGGUAUGAUUUCUAUAUUAACUUUAUAUCGUCAAAUACAUGUUGUUCAUAAUCUUAUAUAAUCUUAGAUUGACAAUAAAUUGACAGGACUGCGUAGGUGCUAUGGAUGGCACCCAUAUAAAUGCUAUUAUCCCGGUAUCUGAGCAGGUUUGAUUUAGAGGCAAGAGAGGGACUACCACCCAUAACGUGUUGUGUGUUUGCUCAUUUGAUAUAAAAUUUACUUUCGUGUAUGCUAGAUGGGAAGGAUCUGCCAAUGAUUGUCGAGUGCUUUCAGCAGCACUCGAAACUCCUCAAUUGCAAUUUCCCCGACCACCACCUGGUAUUUAUUUUGUUUAUAUAGACAUUUGUGAUUAUAUUAUGGUUGAAUAUCACAACAAAUUUAUAUAUAUCAUGUUGUAGGGAAAUACUACUUGGUAGAUUUUGGUUAUGCAGUACUUCCGGGAUUUUUAACUCAAUUUAGAAAGGAACGGUAUCAUCUCAGCGAAUAUAGAGGGAGUGGAAGACGGCCAAGAACAGCAAAAGAGUUAUUCAACUAUAAGCACUCUUCACUAAGAAAUGUAAUUAAGAGGUCAUCCGGGGCAUUAAAGAAUUGCUUCACCAUUUUGAGACAUAUGCCUCCAUUUACAAUUCGGAAGCAAGCACUUGUUGUAAUUGCAUGUUGUGCUCUUCAUAAUUACAUUCGUGAUCAAGAUAAGAUGGAUAUAAAUUUUUCCAUUUAUGGAGAUCCGGAGUAUCCAUUUGGACUUACAGAAGUGGAGGUUGCAGAUCCUAGUCAUGAGCAGGAAUCUAGGAUAAACAUGCUUAGGAUAAGUAUUGCAAAUAAAAUGGCAAUGGAUCACAAUAUGCAUGAGAUUUGUUGACCUCUGUAAUAUUGUUUUUAAGUAUUCACUGUGAUAAAGUUGAACAAUGAACUAUAUUGCUUCAUUAUUGUGAUGUCAUGUAUGGAAGGGUUCAUGUUGAGAUGUAUAAGAUACUAUUCUUUUUGCUAGUUCUUAUUGUACGAACUUUACUUAUAAUUUUUUUUUUAAGUAUGCACAUAUGACUAUGUUGGAAAUAUUUUUCUUCACUCACCAUUAUCAAAAUUAAAUUGAUGAGCAUUUCAUGAGAAUGAGAAUUCAAUAUCAAGUUUAUAUGUUAUAAAAAUAAAAAAUAAAAAAAAGUACUUGAAAAAAAUUUGAUACAAACUUUACUUACAAAAUUUUCUACCAAGUAUGCUAUAUGAUCAUGUUCAAAAUGUUUGUUUUCACUCACCAUGAACAAAAUAAAAUUAAUGAGCAUUACAUGAGAAUGACAAUUCAAUAUCAAGUUUAAACUUUAUUUUAAAAAAAACAUUUUUUUUUUAAAAUUUAAAAACAGAAAUUUUGUACAGUUUACUAAACGUGUUUCUGUUCUUUUUCUAUUCUAGGAACAGAAAUUGAUUGCAGUUACCAAACGUGUUUUUGUUCUUUUUUUAUUUCAAGAACAGUUUUUUUUUUUACACUUACCAAACGCGUUCUUUUGUUCAAAAACUGUUCCCCAGAAUAGAAACACUUUUUUUUUUUAAUUUCUGUUCCCUGGAACAAUUUUUGAACAGAAACGUUACCAAACGUGCCCUAAGAUUAUAGAAAGGCUCUUCUCACUUCUUUCAAUCGUCCAUUCUCUAGGGCAUUCGAAAGGGUCUCCCAUGUUUGUACUCAUCGGAUUCCAGACUCUCCUCCAAUCUCUCACAUUUCCUUAUAAUACUCCCCAAACAUAGAUUCUUUAAGCUUAAAGGUUAAAAAAAUUGAUGCAAAGACCCGUAGCCUUCUAUAACAAGGAGGUCCAAAUGAUUUUAACAUAUAUGGAAUCUCAACCACACGAUGGCAAUGUUGAAAAUAAAAAGUUUGAAUGUCCAUGGCAUUGGUAAGGUCAGGCAACUUCUCUAGCAUUGAAGAUCAUGUAAAUAUAACUAUUUCAAGUUCUCCGAACCUUCCAGGUCUUGAAUCCCUUCUACCUUCCGACAACUAAUUAUAUUAUAAAAUUCUAUAUGCUUGAAGCUUAAUGGAUCAAGCAGCUGUUCGAGUGAUUGACAACACAUUAAACUAAAAAGCUUCAACGAUUCUAGCUGACCUCGAACCUCAACCAGUUUAGGACACUCAUUUAUCAAUAAACAUUGGAGCUUCUUCAAGCUGGUUAGGUCGGGCAACUUCACUAGCAACGGAAGAUACCCAAGCCUAAGCAAUCGUAGGCUUUUCAAAGGUUCCAGAACUUGAAUCUCGUUUAGCUGUUCACAAUAAAAGACUUCCAAUUCUGAUAACUUCUCCCAAUAUGAAAGAGUUAUCGACUUUUCCAUUAACCCACGCCCAUCAAAAUGGAAGUAUGACAAAUUCUGAGGAAGCUUAGGUUGGCAUUCUAGGUUAUUUGCGGGGAGUUUAAGCUUCCUAAGAUUCGAAAGGAGAUUAAAAUCUAAAGGUAGGGUGACCAAAUCAUCACAAUACAACCCCAAGGACUCUAGCUUUCUUAACCCUCCGAUCCAAUUGAGGCUUGGAGUUGGAUGGGAAGGGCAUUGAUACUCUAAUUUCGACAUCAAAACUCUCAAAUUUAUUAGGUUCGAGAGAUCUGGGCAUCUCAUCUAUAGAUUAUUGGUUAGGACUAGUUCGGUCAAACUUUUAGGAAGCUUAGGUAUAUUGGAAAUUCUCGUGCCCGAUAAUGUCAAGAUUCUUAGAAAUGAUAGUCUUCCGAUCUCACUUGGAAUUUCCCCCCUCAAAUAUCUACAACUGUUGGCAUGGAUCUUUUCAAGCUUCUCCAAUGAUAGUCUUCCAAUCUCACUUGGAUUUCCCCCACUCAAACAUCCAUAACUGCUGACAUAGAUCUCUUCAAGCCUCUCCAACUUCCCAAGGGGGCUAGGUAGCUUUUCUAACAUGAAGUCAAAGAUCCUUAGUAUUUUCAAGUUCUUCAUCGUCUCUAUUGAGUCGGGUAACUCUCGUAUGCUUGAACAAGAAAGAUCUAACUCGACGAGAGAUCCAAAUUUUCCAAGUGAAAGUUCACUCAGUAAGCGACAUGACACUACACUAAGAGUUUCCAAUUUCUCCAUUCCGUUCCAUUCAGGAAUUUUGGUAAUAGAUGUCCCAUCAAGAAGAAGUUCUCUCAAGUCUUCCAUUUCUUCCAUCUCGUCAAGCAAUGUCUGAAGUUUCCCACAGUAUUUCAAGUUUAAUAACACUAAAUGCUUUAACCUACCAAUAGACCUAUGGAACUUCAACCAUUUCCGUGCACCCUUGAAGAAUCAAUUGCUCUAAGUUUUUAUGAGCAGAAAAGUCGGGAGUUCUAUGCAAAUUUUUGCACCUAGUCAAAUUUAGAACCUUCAAACUCUUUGCCAUCUGUAAUGAAGAGGAGGUUAAUUCUGAAUCAUUUUGAGAUACUAGACAGCAAAGUCAAUAUAGCCAAUUCAUGUUGAAAUAAUACCAUACCUUGAGUUGCUUCCAUCCCUCCCACUCAUUAGUAAUUUCACUCCUUGAUAGAUCAAGAAUCACUAGCUUCUUAAGAGAACGUGCGGUGAACUUGAAACAUACAGGAAAGUUAUGCCAUGAGAGCCAUCUCAAACUUGGAAGCAUGAUCGGAUUCCUUUGAGCCCAGUUGGUAGAAGGAAAAUGCUGACCGUUGUUCUCAUCCAAGUCUACACAAUCCACUUGAAGAAAUCUUAAUUUUGAUAGGCUUAUAAAUUCUUCCUUCUCAAUGAAGUCUUCAAAUUGACUAUCAAACCUGAGACAUAUUGCUUCAACGUUUUCUCUUCCCUGCCAAAAAGAAAAAAAAAAUUAAACAAAAGCUAGUGAUCACAUAAUUGCCUGUUGAAGGCAUUCGGGUUGAAUAUACUUGAGAAUGUACUUCUUACAUAUAAUUCAAAAUUAAUUUCCAAUAUAAUUUACGGAGGAGCAUGUGAUCGUAUAAGCACACAAGUAAUGACUCGGUUUAGAUAGAAGCAAAUAAGCAGAGUCAAUGUGUAUAACUUGUCUCUUUGAAUAGGAACAACAUUGCAAAUACUUUACCUCCUUUAUUUCAAGGACAUCAAUCGAUUCCUCAUGAUCCCACACCCGACUUUGCUUCUCUAGUUUAAAAUGAGCUCUUUCAUGAACGAUGUCUCGCCCAAGGUCUCUUAGUUGAUCAUGCAUCCAUAGUCGGUUACCUUCGACAAUCUUCAUUAACGAUUUCCGUUUGAGGACUUCAAGAGAAUAUUCAGGGAAAAGCUUACGGUUGGCCCACAUGUAAGUCACAGUUCUCAUAUCAAACCCAACAAAGAAGCAACAAACAUCAAGAAAUAUUUCCAUCUUUGGAGGUUCUAAUGCCUCUAAACUGAUGCUCAGCUUACUUUUAACCUUUGGUUCGGGAAUAGUUUUCAACUUUUCUAAUUUGGCCACCCAAAAAUUUGGGUCUUCUCCAACUAAAGAUGAACCUAUAAUCGCUAGAGCCAAAGGAAGAUGACCACAAAUUUCUAUCACUUUUUUCGAGAGGGAAACGUAUUCUGCUGGGGGAUGAUCUCUUCUAAAGACAUGCUUGCUAAACAGUAAAAGAGAAUGAUUGAAAUCCAUUUCAGUAAGCUUGUACUUAAAAUCAACAUCUUUGAGAACUUCCUCGUUUCUUGUGGUAAUAAUUACCUUACUUCCUCUGCCGUACCAGUGUUCACCCGUCCCUACAAGAGUGUUUAGUUGAGUGUUUUGGUCGACAUCAUCAAUUACAAGUAAAACCUUUUUAGAGGAUAACCUCUCCCUGAUCACUAUAAUCCCUUCAUUAAUAGUAUUGAUGGAUGGCCAUUCCAUUCUUAGGACUUUAGAGAGAAGCUGAUUCUGCAAAAUCACAAUCUUUGUCUCUCGAAUGUUAGACAUGAAGCAACAGUUAUCAAAAUCAGCCGAUAGUUUAUUAUAGAUGAUAGUGGCAAGAGUUGUCUUUCCGAUACCACCCAUACCAUGGAUGCCAACAAUCUUUGUUCCAGUGGUCUGUGUACCUAUCUUUUCCAUGAUUUUGUCCACAUGAUCGUCCAUUUCAACUAAGUAAUCAGGUUUUGCCAAGUUGUUCUUUUUUAACUCGAUCAACAACGUCUGAACAACUUCUUCUGUGAACUCACCUUUGCCUCUGACAAUAUUGAAGGCAAAAGACCUGUUAAAUUGAGAUGAACAAAAUAAUAUCCACGCUACAAACAAUCAUGAAAAAUAGUAAAUUCGACUACCUCCCAUUAAGUUCCCAUCCUCUUAACGCUCCAACCUUGCGGAGAGCUAUCUUCCACUUCUCAAUAGUCCCAUUAGCAAACCGUUGCUUAUUUUUGUGUAAAGUAAUGGCUUUACCGUAACUUCCAGUUUGGUAACGAACCUUUGAUGGUGCUAUGUCAAAGAAAAUUGGCAUGAUCUUUCGUCCCCAGUUUUCCUUGCACUCCACCAUCUAGGCCAACUCCAUGAGGCACCAUGGACUGAUAGCAUAUCCUUUAGAUAAGAUAGGAAUCGAGAUUUCCGACUGCUUAAUCGCUUGGACAAGCUUCGGGCCAAUCUCUUCCCCAAUGGGAAGCUCGUCAUUAUCUCUAUAUGCCCUUAUUCCGGCACGACUAAGGCUCUUGUAAAGUAUAUCAACAACGUCAAGCCGAGUGUCCGGUCCUCUAAAGCUCAAGAAUACUUCAUAAUCAGAUUCCAUUGGCUUCUCCAUUUCCUGGAUUUUCAGAGGACUUGCAAUCAAUUGAUAUCCCACUUGAAAAACGUUUACUAUGAAAGCCGAGUGAUGAUUAUCACGAUUUCUCUUAGAAACUCUUCUGUUUUAAGUCUUUCUAGGAAGAAACCAAGAUGACAAAUGCACGAGCUUCUUCUGCGCUUUGCACUAGACACCAAAAUAUGUUAAAAUAUUUUAUUAAUAAUAUAGUAGACAAGUGGACCCCUCUCAAUUCUAAAGGAAGAAAUUUCCAAAGUAUUGCAGAAUUAUAAGCUAUGCUUCACACUUGAAAUUGAUUUGAAAGAAUAACAUUUUGAGAAGAUAAAUCACUAUCAACCUAUAUUCGUCUUAAACUAUUACUUAUGUGAUAAAAUUCCUCUUAAAAGCUGACGUUGAAUGUCCUCUGCACAUCAUGCCUGCUUCUGCUUGUAGAUUGACUAAUUAUCUUAUUGUCAGAUAAGAAAUCAUGAUGAAACCUUCCUCUUUUAUUUUACCAAAACAUAUUUGACAGACAUUCCACGACCCUCAAUUAGUGUUCUCUUGGCCUUAACGGACGCAGGUGAAGAAUCACUCCCAGUGAAAAUCUCUAAUUGGAAAGGCGAAAUCAAGAAAUUACACCGGAGCUACUUCAACCCUCUCCAUUGGUCUAGUUUCUAAAGAGCAUAAACCGAUCUCCAAUUACAGUCAAAUCUUAGUUUAUUAACAUACAGGCACAGGGUCAAAGGCGAGCAUUAGAAGCUAACGUUCGCAUUUGCCAGAAAGUAUCAGCAUAUCAGAAAAAGAGGGAUGAAUUACUAACCGAUAAUGUAGAUGAAAUUUCAACAGAAAAAAGAAGCAUGAAUGCUAUAAUUGUUCUUCCAGAAAAUAAGUUUGAACACACAGGAGUGCAGGAACAAGAACUGUACUUUACGGAAGCGGAGACAUUAUAGUCUAUUCAAUCUGUCUCUACUGUUGAAUACAGUGUUAAGGGUAUCAAUUUCUGCCUAGGAGCAUUCUUACUGCUAAUCACUGGACAAUAACGUAUGAAUUUGUCGUCUGGAAGUCUCUUAAAGAUACCACUAUCUCUGUUCGCACAUAAAUUAAAAGAAGAAAAAGUCCCAUCAAACAAAUGAAAUCAACAGAUCCACUCAAACUAAUUUAGCCUUUAGCGCUAGCAAUCCACGCAAAAACUCAGAGAGAGAGAGAGAGAGAGAGAGAGAGAGAGAGAGUACGCGGGUGGCGAGCUCGUAAGACUGAGCGUUGUCGAUGAUGGAACCGGACUUGCCUCCACCGCCGCCGCCCUCCCUCCUCUUCUUCUUCUUGCCGCUCCUCUUCUUCGGAUCGUCGUCGCGAGGGACGCCGCCGCCGUUGAGGAGCUCACUCCGAGGCUCGACACCGCUCUCCUCCGCUUAAGCUUCGUGCGCUCUCUUCUUCUUCGGCAUUCCCGCUCUCCGAUAUCAGAAAGUUUCGAUUUUUCAACACGGUACGAGGUCGACCGGUCAAGGGUUUAGCCGUCGAUCUUGGUGGUGUAUUGCCUUUCAGGAUCUAAGGCCUGACAGUUGCAUAGAUGGAAGUGGAUGAGCAGGGUUUAGCAUGUGAGUAGAGUUAGAGGCUAAAGCUAUUAGCGUUAGACGCAAAUGGCAGUGAUCAAUCACGGAGUCAAUUGAGGAAAGAAUUUGAUGCUGAUAUGAGAGUCCCUCUCUUGUUUCCAUCAAAUCUGCAUCUAGUUGCAUUACGGAACAGACCCAAUUCAUUCAAAAGAAGGCAAUAAACGAGAGGAAAUUUCCGGAGAUGGAGGGGCUGAAGAUGAACAGUCCGGAUCAAAUGCUGAGAAGCAGAAUCGUUCUUGGCUUUCGAGAUCGGCGGAAGAAAGACAGAGACUUCUAUGAGACGGUGAAUUCACCCUCCCUCGCCGUACCCUUCCAGGAAAGCGAGGGCUUGCUUGUUGAUUUUAAUCAUCCUAUUAUUUAAGAUUUGAAUAGUCCAAUCAUUGGGAAUUACGAUUGGUUAUAAAUAUUAUAAAUUGAUAAGUAGAUGACGAAGCACAAAAUAUAAGUCAACUUGAUUAUAUUUAUAAAUUAGCUACGAAUAAAACCAAAUAAAUAUCAGAUUGAUAUAUUGAUGCUAAUCAUUCAUUGAAAAAUUGUGCCAUUACGAUUUUUUUUUUUAAACAAUGACAAAUUAAUUUAGAUUUCUACUAACGCAAUAUUGUACUAUAUCUACUAUGAUUUAUAACACAGUCAUAUGGUAAAAUCUGCAUUAAAUUCAUAAUGCACAUGAUAAAUUACUGAUAGUGUUGGAAACUUACAACAACAGUUAAAGUUCACUAAAAUGUUGGUAAAAUUCUGAUGGUGUAAGCAAUUUACUUACAGCACUGAUAAAAUUCCAGAAGAAUUUGUAAUUUGCUAAAUUAAUGAAAAAUUGAUAAAUUUCAGAUAGUAUAGGUAUUUUACUACGGGUGUACCUAACAAGCAAGAACCGGUCAUUUUUUUUUACAAGCACGAUUGCCAGCAAAAUUGCAAUUUCACCAACAGGGAAGACUUUUCAAUUCUCAAGUCCUGCGGGACCGUAGAAUUUUGCCAAAGAUUCAUUCGUCUCCGCCUCUACGACAAAAACUUAAAAGCCCACCUAAUAUUUCAAAUGGUGAAACUUGAAAUGCAAUCAUGAAUUCACUCUAAAGCACAUGUAAAAAUCUGUUUUGAGUUAUCAAAACUAAAGAACCUUUGCGACCAUUGCAAAUGAUCAUUAACUGGAUGAUUAACCCCUACUUCUUCAUUUCUUCAAUGUGGAAAUUUUACGGGAAAUCAACAACAAUUCUGUGAAUAUGGAUAUGGUUGCUAAUGUCUACUUAAAUUCGUGACAUUGAAUGCAAGACAUUCUCAGUGUACUUUCUCAAGAACAUCAAUCUCUGCAAAUGAAUCCUGGAUCAAGUCAUCUUCAAUCCUUGAUCAAUUUCACCGAAAGGCAAAAAUUGCCGUUCAUAUCAAAUGAGGCGAUCAAAUGAGGCGACAAUGCCGGAAGAGUGCUACUACCAAGGACGGAUAGAGCUGCCGCUUUUCAAAGAAAUUAUUACAAGCAAGGGAAAUUUCAAAUUGCCUACUUAGAAGAAUCCAUUUGGAAAUCAUCUCUCGACUCUUAGUACGUUUCUAACGAUUUUCUCCAAGUUGCCUCUAAUUGAAGAUUCAAUUUUUUUAAGUUCAAAUCUGACAGGAAGUUUUUCUGCUUGUCGUAGAAAUAUAUUGAUAUUCACAUCACUUAGUCAUACAAGAACUUUAUAUUACAAACAUGGGAUGUCUUCUCAAAUAGGUUGACAAAGUGAAUGUUGCUCAUUCAUAUGAAAAGUUGAGGUAGGUAGUUGAUGCAACCCGAAGACGAGGUCAGCAAUCUGGAAUAGAGGUAGGUCGAUACAAUCUCCCUCCCUCCCUCCUGAAGUAGGUAUCCAAAGUGAGCUGACGAUCAGGAGAGAACAGGCGUAACAAAGAGAGAGGACCAACAUCAUGCCCUCGUGGAACAGAACGAAGCGCAAGAAGAUGUGGUCACAGUCCCAGAGGGAGAUCCCCGCCAGGUCGAUUCGCACAUCAUGCUUCCACUCGGGGUCGCCAUCGCAUUCCUUGACGGACAGAGUCCCUUGCUACUGGUUCUGGGCGAGCUUCUUGCUCGGGGGUCGUCGCUGACGAUGGAGGAAGAAGGAAAAAACAAAUAGAGUGAGAAGAGAGACGCAGCAGGAGGAGAAAAGAAAAAGGAGAAGAAAGUCAAAAUUUCUGAAGAAGGGUCCCACCUGUACAUGUGGCCAUCGAUUUACGUUCUCAAGUAUAUCCUACAUGGCACAACGUAUUACCCUUCCAAGUUCUUUUGUCGGCCUUGCCAAUUUUUUCAGAUCUCUGUACUUAUCGGAUUCCAAAGUCUACUCGAACUUCUCAGAUUCACCUAUAUAAAAACUUGCCAGAUUCUUGAAGCUUGAAGAAUCAGAUAACUUUUGCAGAGACCCACAGUGAUAAAUAGAAAGCCUCUCCAAUGAUUCUAGCCUAUCUUGAAUCUCAACCAGACCAAGACAAUUUACUAGAUUAAGUAGCUCAAGUUUCUUGCAGUUGGUCAAGUCAGGCAACUUCACUAAGGACGGAAGAUUCCUAAGAUUUAAGUACUUCAAGUGCCCCGAAUCUUCCAGGCCUCGAAUCUCUUUUAGCUUCCAACAGCUAGAUAUAAGGACUUGUUCUAUCUUUUUGAAGCUUAAUGGAUCGGGCAACUUUUCGAGAGAUUCACAGGACAUAAUAUAAAGUAUCUCUAGCGAUUCUAACUGACCUCCAACCUCAACUAGUUUAGGACAAUUUAAUAUCCACAUUCCCGUGAGCUUCUUCAAGUUGGUCAAGUCAAGCAACAACUUCACCAAAAAUGGAAGAUGAUCAAAAUGAAGCCAUUUCAGGUUUUCCAAACGUGCAAGACCUUGAAUCUCAAUUAGCUGUUCACAAUUAUUGACUUCCAAUUUUGAUAACUUUUCCAAAUAUGAAAGAUCUAUUAAAUUUCCAUUAAGCUUUGCCCAAAAAUACGGAGGUGUGACAAAUUCUGGGGAAGCUUAGGUAGGCAUUCUAGCUUAUCUACAAGGAGUUCAAGCUUCCUGAGCUUAGAAAGGAGAUUAAAAUCUGAAGGUAGGGUGGCUAGACUAUGACAACACAACAUCAAGGACUCCAGCUUUCUCAAUCCUCCGAUCCAAUGGAGGCUUGGAGCUGCAUGGAAUAGGGCUCCAUACAUCAAACCCAACUCCAAAACUCUCAAAAUUAAUAGGUUUGAGAUAUCUAGCAAUCUCAUCACUGACCUGGUUGUAAUGUAUAGAUUGGUCAAACUUUCAGGAAGCUUAGGUACUUUAGAAAUUAUCAUGUCCGAUAAUCUCAAGAUCCUCAGCAAUGGUAGUCUUCCAAUCUCACUAGGAAUUUCCUCCAAAUUUCUACAAUUUUCGGCAUCUAUCUCUUCAAGCUUCUCCAACAUUCCAAGGGCACUAGGUAGCUUUCUUAAGUGGGUGCGAUGCAGUCUUAGUACUCUCAAAUUCUUUGCCACCUGUAAUGAAGAGAAGAUGUUAAUUCUGGACCAUUUUGAGAUACAAGACAGCAGAGUCAAUAUAGCAAAUUAAUUGUGAAAUAAUACCAUACCUUGAGGUGGUUCCAUCCCUCCCAAUCAUUUGUAAUUUUGCUCCAUGAUAGAUCAAGAAUCACUAGCUUCAUACGGGAAAAUGCGGUCAACUGGAAAAAAGAGAGGAAACUCAUGCCAUGAGAGAUAUCUCAAAUUCUGAAGGAUGAGUAGAUUCCUUUGGAACCAAUUGGUUGGAGGGAAAUACUGAAUGAAGUUAUGCCAUGAGAACCAUCUCAACUCCGAAAGAAUGAGUAGAUUCCUCAGGAACAAGUUGGUUGAAGGAAAAUGCUGAAUGAAGUUAGGCCAUGAGAGCCACCUCAAAUUCGGAAGGAUGGGUAGAUUCCUCCUAAACCAGUUGGUUAAAGAAAAACACUGAAUGUUGUUCAUAUCCAAGUCUCCACAUUCCACUUGAAGAAACCUUAAAUUUGAUAGACUUUCAUAUUCUUCAUGUUGGAGUUUUGUUUGUUAAAACAAAAGGAGUGCUUUUUUCUUUGUCCCAUAGAGAAAAGGUAGGAGGAAGUGGGCCGAUUUUAAAAUGUGGGAUUUCCUUUUUGUAGUUAAAGGAAUGAUUGGGUGGGGCUAGACCCCACCAUACCCGCGUGUGGGUGCGCGAAUAAUUGCGCGAUUUUGGCGUGAUUAUUUGGCGCACUUAGCACUUUGCACGCCCGUGGAUUAAUUAGCACUAAUCCCUUUGUUAUUUAUUUAUUUUUUUGUUAUUAUUUUUUUAUUCAAUUCAAAGGUUGCCUUUUAUUUUGAAAAUUUUCAGAAAUGAAAUAUAAAAAUGAAAAUUCGAAAUUUUAUUUAAAAAAUUAUUACUCAGAAUUUUGUUUGUGUCUUUUCAAGACAACCUUUGAAAAAUUACUUAUUCGAUUUUGCAACUUUUCCCGAAGGGUUGCAAUUUUUCGGUUUUCAACUUCUUCCGAAGAGUCGCAUUUGUUUAUCCGAACAAUUUUCUAAAGGAUGUGUUUGUUCAUUCUUUGGCAAUUUUCACGAAGAGUUGCAAGACUGUUUCAUAUAUAUACUUGUUAAUUUUCGGAAGGAAAAAGUGAUCAUUUUUUAGUCUUCUUUUAGAAAAACUGCAGCUAAUUUUUCGAUUGUUUCCUAGAGAAACCCUAGAGAAAUACUAGAAUUGAUAUCUAGCAUUCUCAUCCGAGACUUUGUUGUAUCCUGGAGGACUUUUGCCAGUGACCAUUAGCAACGUUGUGGGGCAAAUAAAUCUUUAAAGAUAGUAAUAUCAUGCCUCAAAGUCCGAGUUGUUUUACUCGAUCUGAUUGCUUUGUCCAACCCAUUUCGAAGCCAUAUUUUUCCAACAAUUUUAAGGAUUUAUCUUGCUACAAUGGAGUCAGAGACAAUCAAAGUUAUGAAUCAAGAUAUGGUCAAACUAGACCGGUUCGAUGGGAACAAUUUUGCUCGCUAGAGGGACAAGAUGAUGUUCUUACUCACUGCUCUGAAGAUCUCCUACAUACUGGAUCCUAACUUAGCGCCUAUAGAAGAUCCUAAGCCUACUUCCGAUGGAGGACUUGGCGCCUAUAGAAGAUCCUAAGCCUACUUUCGAUGGAGGACAACCAAGUGCGGAAGCCAUUGAGAGGGUUAAUAAGGAAAAGAAGAAACGUGUGGAGGGUGAAUUACUUUGUCAAGGACACAUUCUGAAGACACUCUCCGAUCGUCUGUACAACUUAUUCAUUGAAAUGAAGUCGGCCAGAGAAAUCUGGAAUGCAUUGGAAUUCAAGUACAAAGUGGAUGAGCAAAGUACCAAUAAAUAUCUAAUCGCAAAGUAUUUUGAUUUCAAGUUUAUUAAUAUUAAACCCUUGCUGGAACAAGUCCAUGAAUUGCAAGUGAUUGUGAAUAAGAUUCGUGCCCUCAAGAUUGAUAUUCCAAAAGCUUUUCAAGUUGGAGCAAUUAUUGCGAAAUUGCCUCCAAGUUGGAAAGAUUAUGGAAAAAAGGCUGAUUCACAAGUCGGAGGACUUUACUUUGGAGCAAAUACAGAAACAUCUUCGCAUUGAGGAAGAGUCACGUUUACGUGAUAAUUCUGUUUUGUACAAUUCCAAGGUGAAUGUUGUGGAUAAAAAACGAAAACUCGGCCAGAACUUCAAAGUAAAAAGCGGGGGGCAUAAAUUCAAGAGAACACAAAAGAAGCAAAAGGGUUGCUAUUUUGUUUGUGGUAAACAGGGACACUACGCUAAGGAUUGCAUUCACCGCAAGAGCAUUUCAAAGGACAAGAACAUUCCGGUGAUGAAAGCAGAUGCAAAUCUGGUUGAAGAAAAUUAUGUAGCCAUGAUUUCAAACAUGUUUUCGAACAUGGAAAUUUUUGAAAUCAAUGAUGCGAUGGCUAUGGUUUUUGAAAUUAAUUCUCCCAUUGUCCAAUCCGGUUGGUGGAUAGAUUCUGGAGCAACAGUCCAUGUGUGCAAGCACAAGUACAUGUUCAAGCAAUUUGAAGAGAUUGUUGACUCAAAUGUUCAAGAGAUCCUGAUGGCGAAUAAUGCUCUUGCAAAUGUUGCUGGAAAAGGCAUGGUGGAGAUAGACUUCACUUCUUGAAAGAAGAUAACUCUUCUUAAUGUGUUAUUUAUACCCGAAAUUAGGAAGAACCUAGUUUCUAUUGAUUUACUUUGUAAGAGGGGGUUUCGGGUUUUGUUUAAAUCCGACAAGGUUAUCCUGUUGAAAAAUGUGUUGUUUGUUGGGAAGGGUUAUGCCAAUGGUGGCAUGUAUCAACUGAGUAUCAAUAAUAAUAUUUCUAGUUCUGCUUAUAUUGUCGAGUCUUCAAUUUUAUGGCAUAAUAGGUUGGCACAUAUAAAUAUUCGUUAUUUGAAGAAUAUGAGAAAAUUAGACUUGAUAAAUUUUAAUGGCGAAUUUGAUAAAUGUGAAAUAUGUGCUAAGUCAAAACUUACUAAGAAGCCAUUUCCUAGUGUUAAAAGAAAUUCGAAUUUAUUGGAUUUGGUUCAUAGUGAUAUAUGUGAAUUUAAUGGUAUGCUAACACAUGAAGGUAAAAUGUAUUUUAUUACCUUUGUGGAUGAUUGCAGUAGGUUCUUAUAUGUUUAUCUCAUGAGAUCAAAGGAUGAAGCAUUUACCAUGUUUAAUAAAUAUAAGGCUGAAGUAGAGAAUCAAUUAGAAAAGAAAAUUAAAGUUCUACGAUCAGAUAGAGGUGGAGAAUAUUUCUUAAAUGAAUUCUCUUCAUUUUGUGAAGAACAUGGUAUAAUUCAUCAAGUUUCAGCACCAUAUACUCCACAACAAAAUGGUUUAGCUAAAAGGAAAAAUCGAUCUCUUGGAGAAAUGGUUAAUUGUAUGCUUUCAAAUUCAAAGCUACCAAUUAAUCUUUGGGGAGAAACAUUACUUACUGCAUGUUAUUCAUAAUAGAAUGACUUCCAAGAAAAAUGACAUAACCCCUUAUGAAAUAUGGAAAGGUAGAAAGCCAAAUUUGUCAUAUCUUAAAGUGUGGGGGUGCUUGGCAUUCUACCGAGCUUCAGAUCCUAAGAGAACAAAGCUCGGUCCUAGAGCUAUCAAAAGUGUUUUUGUUGGAUAUGCUGAAAAUAGUAAAGCUUAUAGGCUUCUUGAUUUAGAGUCCAAUGUCAUAGUAAAAUCAAGAGACGUUGAAUUCUUUGAGAAUAAAUGUUUUACAAGUUCUGAAAUUAUUGAAAAUAAUUCAAGAUUUAUGGAAACUCAAAGUGAUUCUCAAGAGAAAGAAACGAAUGAUUCUAAAGACAUGAUUGAACCAAGGAGAAGUACUAGAGCUAGGAAAAUAAAAGACUUAGGUCCUGAUUUUAUUACUCAUGUUUUUCUUGUUGAAGGAGAUUGAGAUAAUAAUGUGGUAAAUAAAUACCCUUUAGUAUUAAAUUUAGAAAAUGAUCCUAGAAGCUUUGAUGAUGUUAUGUCUUCUAGAGAUGCUUCCUUUUGGAAAGAAGCUGUGAAUGAUAAAAUGGACUCAAUUAUGUCCAAUAAUACUUGGGUAUUAGUAGAUUUACCAAAAGGAUCAAAACCUAUUGGGUGCAAAUGGGUUUUUAGAAGAAAAUAUCAUUCUGAUGGUUCUAUUCAAACUUUUAAAGCUAGGCCUUAGCUAAGGGAUAUAGACAAAAAGAAAGAAUAAAUUAUUUUGAUACAUAUGCUCCUGUUGCAUGUAUAACUUCUAUUCGAGUUCUUUUUGCUCUAACUUCCAUUUAUGAUCUUUGUGUUCAUCAAAUGGAUGUUAAGACUGAUUUCUUAAAUGGAGACUUAAAUAAAGAGAUUUACAUGGAACAACCGGAGGGUUUUGUUCUUCCUAAAAAUGAAAGAAAAGUAUGUAAAUUGAUUAAAUCUCUUUAUGAACUUAAGCAAGCUCCUAAGCAGUGACAUAAAAAGUUUAAUUCGGUCAUAUUGUCAAAUGGUUUCAUCAAUAGCAGUGCCGAUAGGUGUAUAUACUCUAAAUUCACUAAAGACUAUGGUGUCUUAGUGUGCUUGUAUGUUGAUGAUAUGCUUAUCUUUGAAACGAAUAUGACUGGAAUUAAUGAGACUAAGAAGUAUCUAACUUCCAUGUUUAAAAUAAAGGAUUUGGGUGAAGUAGAUACUAUCUUAGGUAUUAAAGUUAAGAAACAUAGUGGGGGUUAUUCUUUAAGCCAAUGUAGUUAUGUUGAAAAAUUAUUAAAUAAAUUUCAACAUCUUGAUUUUAAAGAAAUAAGUACUCCAUUUGAUUCCAAUAUUAAAUUAAAUUAUAAUACUGGUAGAGCGGUGGUAUAACUAGAAUAUGCAAGUGCUAGAGGGUCUUUAAUGUAUGUGAUGCAUUGUACUAGACCCGAUAUUGUUUAUUAUGUAUGCAAGUUGAGUAGGUAUACUAGUAAUCCAAGUACAGAACAUUGGAGAGCUAUUACUAGAAUUUUUGGUUAUCUUAAGAGAACUAAAAAUUUAGGAUUGUUCUACAAUAAUUAUCCGGUUAUAUUAGAAGGAUACACUGAUGCUAGUUGGAUUACAAGUGUGGGAGGUGAGCGUUCCACUUCUAGAUGGAUCUUCACACUAGUUAGAGGUGUUGUAUCUUGGGCGAGCAAGAAACAGACAUGUAUAACUCACUCAAUAAUGGAAUAUGAAUUUAUUGCUUUGGUGACAGCCAGGAAAGAGAAUGAAUGGAUUAGAAAUUUGUUGUUGGAUAUCAAAUUAUUUCUAUCCACUGUGAUAGUCAGGCCACUUUGGCAAGAGCCUAUAGUAACACCUAUAAUGGUAAGUCUAGACAUAUUAGUCUAAGACAUGAAUAUGUGAGACAAUUAAUUAAAAAUUGUACCAUAACAAUUAUCUAUGUGAGGUCAAGUAAAAAAUCUUGUAGAUCCUUUGACGAAGGCUUUACCAAGACAUAUGGUAAUAACUACCUAACAAAAAAUGGGGCUGAAACCCUUUAAUUGAAAUCACCAAUAAUGGUAACCUGACCUUUUUCUAGAACAUCACUAGUUACAAGGUUUAAUAGUGCGGAGUAAUAUAAAACUUCUUGCUAAAAUAAGAGGUUAGUGUAUGUGCGAUAUGUCUGGUUCUAUUACAUAAAAGUACAAGUUUAAAGCCGAACUACUUGUCACUUUGAUAGAGCUUUGAUAUACUUACACUAAGUAAAUGUUUAACUCGAAAGAGACCUUUAUGUAUGUAUAUUAAUCUUACUGAAAAUUUGGCUAUAUGGUUUUUUAAAAUUUUAUUUUUGAAAUCUUUGUUUUACAAACAAAGUGGGGGAUUGUUGGAGUUUUGUUUGUUAAAAGAAAUUGAGUGAUUUUUUCUUUGUCCCACAUAAAAACGGUGGGAGGAAGUGGGCCAAUUUAAAAAUGUGGGAUUUCCUUUUUGUAGUUUAAGGAAUGAUUGGGUGGGGUUAGACCUUCACCAUACCCGCGUAUGGGUGCGCGAUUUUGGCGCGAUUAUUUGACGCACUUAGCACUUUGCACGCUCGCGGAUUAAUUAGCACUAAUCCCUUUGUUAUUUAUUUAUUUGUUUUGCUAUUAUUUUUUUUAUUCAAUUCAAAGGUUACCUUUUAUUUUGAGAAUUUUCAAAAAUAAAAUAUAAAAAUGAAAAUUCAAAAUUUUAUUAAAAAAAUUAUUAUUCUGAAUUUUGUUUGUGUCUUUUCAAGACAACCUUUGAAAAAUUACUUAUUCAAUUUUGCAACUUUUCCCGAAGGGUUGCAAUUUUUCGGUUUUCAACUUCUUCCGAAGAGUCACAUUUGUUUAUCCGAACAAUUUUCUAAAGGAUGUGUUUGUUCAUUCUUUGGCAAUUUUUACGAAGAGUUGCAAGACUGUUUCAUAUAUAUACUUGUCAAUUUUCGGAAGGAAAAAGUGGUCAUUUUCGAAUCUUCUUUCAGACAAACUACAAUCAAUUUUUCGAUUGUUUCCUAGAGAGACCCUGGAGAAAUACUAGAAUUGCUAUCUAGCAUUCUCAUCCGAGACUUUGUUGUAUCCUGGAGGAUUUUUGCCAGCGACCAUUAGCAACGUUGUGGGACAAAUAAAUCUUUAAAAAUAGUGAUAUCACGCCUCAAAGUCUGAGUUGUUUUACUCGAUCCGAUUUCAUUGUUCAAUUCAUUUCGAAGUCAUAUUUUUCCAACACUUCCUUCUUAAAGAAGCAUUGAGAUUGAUGAUCAAACUUGAGACAUAUGGCUUCAGUGUGUCUUGUUCCCUGCCAAAGAAAAAAAGGGAAACAUAAGUUGGUUAUCAUAUAAUCACCAAUUGAAGGCAUACGAGUUGAACAUACCCAAGAAAUGGACAUCUUAUUCAUAAUUUGAAAUUAAUUUACAAUAUGAUUUAUAGAUGCACAUGUGAUCACAGUAACCACAUAAUUAACUUCUCGGUUCAGAUAAAAGCAAAUAAGCAAAGUCAAUGUGUAUAACCCUUCUCUUUGAAUAGGAAUAACAUGGCAAACACUUUACCUCCUUUCUUUUAAGAACAUCAAUUGCUUCCUCAUGAUUCCACACCUGACUUUGCUUCUCUAGUUUAAAAUUAGCUCUUUCACGAAUGAUAUCUUGCCCAAGGUCUCUUAGCUGAUUAUGCACCCACAAUUGGUUACCUUCUACAAUCUUCAUUAACGACAUCCAUUUGAGGACUUCAGGAGAAUAUUUAGGGAAAAGCUUACAGCUGUCCCAUAUGUAUGUCACAAUUCUCACAUCAAACCCAACAAAGAAGAAGCAAAUAUCGAGAAAUAUUUCAUUCUCUUCAAGUUCUACUGCCUCAAAACUAAUGUUCAACUUACUUUUAACCCUUUUAUUGGGAAUAGUUUUCAAUUUUUCUAAUGUGUCCACCCAAAAUUUUCUGUUCUUUCCAGCUAAAAAUGAACCUAUAAUCUCUAGAGCCAAAGGAAGACGACCACAGAUUUCUACCGCUUUUUUUGAGAGGGGGAUGUAUUCUGCUGGAGGAUGAUCUCUUCUAAAGGCAUGUUUGCUAAACAGUAGAAGAGAAUAAUUGAAAUCCAUUUCAGUAAGUUCGUGCUUCAAAUCAACAUCUUUGAGAACUUCCUCAUUUCUUGUGGUAAUAAUAACCUUAAUUCAUCUACCGAACCAGCAUUGACCCGUCCCCACAAGAGCCUCCAGUUGAGUGCUUUGGUCGACAUCAUCAAAUACAAUUAAAAUAUUUUUAGAGGAUAACCUAUUCUUGAUCUCAGUAAUUCCCUCAUUAAUACUAUUGAUGGAUGGCCAUUCCAUUCUUAGGACUUUAGAGAUGAGCUGAUUCUGCAAACUUACAAUCUUUGUCUCUCGAAUGUUAGACAAGAAGCAACAAUUAUCAAAAUCAGCCGACAGUUUAUUAUAGACAAUUGUGGCAAGAGUUGUCUUUCCGACACCACCCAUACCAUGGAUACCAACAAUAUUUGUUCCAGUGGUCUGUUCACUUAUCUUUUCCAUGAUUUGGUCUACUUGAUCAUCCAUUUCAACCAAGCAAUUAGAUACUGCCAGGUAGUUCUUUUUCAACUCGAUCAAAAGCUUCCAAACAACUUCUUCGGUGAACUCACAUUUGCCUCUGAUAGUAGUGAUGGCAAAAGAACCCAACUGUUAAAUCGAGAUGAGCAAAAUAAUAUCUAAGGUACAAACAAAUCCUGAACAAUAAUAAAUUCAAGUACCUCUCCUUGAGUUCCCAUCCUCUUAACGCUCCAACCUUGCUAAGAGCUACCUUCCAGUUAUGAAUAGUCUCAUCAGUGUACCGCCACUUAUUUAUGUGUAAAUUAAUGGCCUCACCGUAACUUCCAGUUUGGUUACGAACCUCGGAUGGUGCUAUGUUGUAGAAAAUCGGCAUAAUCUUUCGUCCCCAGCUUUCCUUGCACCCCACCAUUUGGACCAUGGACUGGCAGCAUAUCAUUUAGAAAGAUAGAUGAGGACUGAGGAGUACAUACAUCCUUUGGGGGCAGUACCUGAUCUUAAUAAACAGCUAACUCUAUCAUUUCAGAGUUAUCCUAAAUUGCAUACCCUAUUAGUAAACGAGUAUAUCGCAUAGCAAUAAAUAUGAAAUGCACUGGCACGUACAUACCAAGUGACUAUAUCUAUCGCCAUGUUUCAAACAUUUGCAAAUAAACCUACAUGCUUGUUUAACAAUGGAUGCGAUUACAUUAAUUAGUUUAUCUAUACCUUGAGUCGUUGGGGUAGAUUUGUCAUACACCUACCCUGGAAAAAAGGGGCUACAAGGUUCGUGGUAAUUUAAGUGCGAUUGCAACCCAAACCACUUUGAGAGCCCACUCCUGAUGUGACCGGCAGUACUAAACUAUGUUUCUGGAGCUUCUUAGGUUGAUGUCCUUUGAAUUUUGUGAUUGGUGCGAAGAUGACAUCUCUCUUGCAAAUGCACGAGAGAAGUCAGUGCAAUCUGCUAAAUGUAUGAGAGUGGUUGGCCCGUCCCCAGCAGAACCGCUCGAACGAUUAUCAAAUACUGUCGCAGAACCCAGGAUGUUCUUUUUAUAUAUCUGCUCUGCCCUUCGGAGUAGAAUACAAACAAAAAUCAUGUAAAGUCGCUGAGAGAGGUGAACUACUCUGCAUUUUAUACAGUAACUCCGACCCCAACAUGAUGUGGCCCGACGACAUUGGUGCUUCAGGGGUUGUUGCUCAGAGCAGAACACCGAACUGCUUCAAAAGGGUUGGUGAGACCAAAUCGAGUCAAUUUUGUAAUGGACUCAGUCAUCUUUCACUUUCCGAGGUCAUUGUCCCGCAUAUUGUAAUGAACUCAGUUUACCUCCAGAGACCGCCCAUGACGUCCGGCACAGUGCCCGCUAAGAUUGUAAUGGAUCCAAUGAUGGUGAUGUUAUUGCAACUGCUAUCGCGUGAGGGCUCACUACCCUAGCUAGGACCUCGAGGAGUAUUGCCAGCCCUUAUUGGGACAACAUAUAAACCCCCAAUUAUUCUCCCAUUCCCGAGCUCUCGUCUCUUUGCUGCCUUCAUCAUUUUCUUUGUUUUUUGUCUUUCAAAUUUGAUGUUUAUUUUUCAAUUUUUAUGAUUUUUACUUGUUUGUAGUGCUCUUCAAUUUUGUGACGUGACAUUUCAUGGAACAAUUUUGUGUUGUACCAAAAAGAUUGAAAUGACAAUUAAGGGAAAUGAACUAAAAAAUAAUUUAAACCUAUUAUAUUGGUACUAAUUCAAUUCUAAAUCUUUAAAUUAGAUUAAUUUAAUCAUGGAUUUUUUAUAUUUGUGCCAAUUAAGUCCAAUCUGUUGAUUUGAAAGUUGGCUGUUUUAUAAGACACGGCUAGCGUUGAUAUGGACAAAUUUUAAUUCUUUUUAAAUAUUAUUUUUUUCCCUUUUCAUUUUGGCUAGUGAGGAUAUGCAUUCCCCUAUGAUGAUCUUAUUGGAAAAGUGAAAUCAAGAAAUUUAACCGAAGCUAAUUCAACCCUCACCGUUGGACUAGUUUCUAAAGAGCAUAAACUAAUCUCUAAUUAGAGUCAUCUCUUAGUAUGUUAACAAACAGGUACAGGGUCAAUGGGUGAGCAUUAGAAGCUAUCAUUCUCAUUUGCCAGAAAGUAUCAACAUAUCAGAAAAAGGAGUCAAUCACUAACCAAUGAUGGGGUUGAUGAAAUUUCCACAGAAAAAAGAAGCAUGAAUGCUAUAACCGUUUCUCUGGAAAAUAAGUUUGAACACACAAGAGUGCAGGAACGAGAGCUGUAUUUUACGGAAACGGAGAGUUCCGGUUCACCACAGAGUGCAACAUUAUAGUCGAUUCAAUCUAUCUCUACUAUUAAAUACAGAGUUGAGGGUAUCAAUUUCUGCCUAGGAGCGUUCUUACUGCUAAUCACUAGACAAUAAUGUACGAAUUUGUCAUAUGGGAGUCUCUUAAAGAUACCGCUGUCUCUGUUCGCAAAGAAAUUUAAAAACAAAUCCCAUCAAACGAAUGAAAUCAACAGAUCCACUCAAACUAGUAUAGCUUUUAGCACCGGCCUAGUUCCUAAAGAGCGUAAAUCUAAUUCCUAAUUACGGAAAUCUCUGAGAUCUAUCAACAAGCUGAUGCACAGAAGUGGCAUUGUGUUUCAAGAUCUGAGGCCUGACAGUUGCACAGAUGGAAGCAGAUGAGCAGGGUUUAGCAUGUAACUAGAGCGAGAGGCUUAAGGCUUCUAGUGUUGGACGCAACUCGCAGUGAUCAAUCAUCGAGUCAAAUGAGGAGAGAGUCGAUGCUGAUCUGAGAGUCCCUCUACUGUUCCCAUCAGAUUCUGCCCCUAGUUACAUUACUGAACAUACCCAAUUCAUUGAAAAAAGCAAUAGAUGAGAGGAAAUUAGCAGAGAUGGAGGGGGUUGAAGAUGAAGAGUCACGAUCGAAAUGCUGAGAAGGUGACUUGAUACUCACCCUUUCGCGCCGACCGCAAAGUACAGAAAAUGAGGGAAUCCGCCUUUCUUUUGAGGCAUUCGAGGUUUUUUUUUUUUUUUUUUUGCUCGGUCCUACUUUAAUCAUAUUCUAACACUCACUCUCAGACUUGGGUUACUUCGAAAAAACUCCCGAGUCCAAAGAGUUUUUGGCUCUAAAGUCUUAUUUGUUUAGAAAUCAUAAUGACGAUGAAACCCCUCUUUUUUUUUUCCUUUUUUUUUUUGGUGAAAUCGUGGAUCCAUUUAAAUUAUUCAUGAAUGAAACCUACACAUUUUAAGUAUUUCAGAUGGAUUAUAACAUGAAGUUAUUCGCAGUAAAUUUACAAAACAAAAGUUUUUUAAAUAAUAAAAGUUGCAUUCAGUUAUUAAAAUCUGAUUUGUUUCGCAAAAAAAUGAAUGAUUGAAAACAUAUUUUUCAAAAAAUAAUUAUUUAUAUCACUUGAAAUCCUUAGUUAAUGAAAUAUGUUUUUAUUAUCAAUAACAAUUUAUGCAUAAAUAUUUUUGUGAAAUAUUUUUUAUUCAUUUAUUUUUGUAAAGGAUACAAGCGAUUAUUUUUCAGAAAAUAUUUUUCAAAUUAUUCAUUGUUCCUUAAAGAUCCAAAAAAUUUAUCAUGCAAAUGAAAGUUUAUCAAUCAUGGAUGGUUUGAGCAGAACUUCUGCCAUUUCUACUUUCCUUUCGCAAAUCUUGGGCAAUGUCCACAUUACCACUAGAAGGAAUCUUUAAAAAAAAAUUUGACCAAGGGAUUUUUUCUUUAAAGUAGUUAUCAUAUUUUUUAGAUUUGAAUAGUCGAAUCAAUAGAAAUUAGGAUUGGUUAUAUAUAUAAUCAUGAAAAUAUUAAUAAUGACGAAUUACAAAAUAUUAGUCAACUUAACUUAUUUUUUUAUUAUCUAUGAUUAAAGUAAAAUAAGAACAAUAAAUCGAUGUAUUGAUGCUAUUUAGUCAAUUAAAAAAAAUAAACCAUUAUAAUUUUCUUAAUUUUGAAACAAUGGCCAGUAAAUUAAUUUAAAUUUCUAAUUUCGAGAUAUAAUGCUGUAGAAUAUCUAUAUUAUGAAGAAUAUGCAAUCAUAUUGUAAAUAAUAUGUUAAAAGCUGGUAUCUUUUUUUCAUUACAUUCUCAAAGUUUGUUUUUCAUACAAUCAAUAAAUGAGUCACUGUUUUGCUCCACUACCUAUAUCUAUGUUAUAGCUCUCCUGGGAAUUCAUCAAUUGACAGUAAUGUGAGCCCUCGCUCUAUUUGAUUUCAUUAAUGCUUCGAUUCAUUUACACAUUAUAUAUAUAUAUAUAUAUAUAUAUAUAUAUAUAUAUAUAUAUAUAUAUAUAUAUUAGCAUACAAAACACAUUGCAAAUUUGCAAGGGAGAGAUAUGCACAAUAUUUUGUAUGCAUCGAAAUUUAAUUAAUCCUCGUCCAACUAUAUUUGUGUUGAUGUGAGCAUUUGUAAUUGAUAUAGUAAUCGUUAGUACACUGUUUUUCUUUUACAGAGAGCCAAGCUAAUUAAUAAAAUUAUAUUAAAUUAAACUAUAUCGAUUUGGAUUCGCUUUUACUUUCUUUUUCUUUUUAAAUUUUUGCUUCUGUAAUUUACACUGCCCACGGACUUUAAGUCUUUUUCGAAGUCCCGAAACUUUCACAAUAGUUGGAUGUUAACACGUACAUUUGUAUUUAUUCAUUUCAUAAUUUUUUGAAAUCCAAAUUAUAUUUCAACUUUUGAUAGGAAAAUAAAUUUUUUUUUUUUUAAGUCCAAACAAAGUGGCGUUAAAGCUGUUAAUUUUCGCCAUUUCUUUACGAUUUCACUUCGCGUGCUGGAUGUUUAGGUGAUACGAUGCUGAAAGCACCGUUUCCAUGGGGGAGACAACUGGUGCACUGCCAUGUUCUUUAAUGAUAUCGUCCCGAGUCCCAAUUAUCGAUCGUUAUGUCUCUCUCAUCGCCAGAAAGCGCUUGACUUGUUCGAUGAAAUGCCGCAGAGGGCUCUUGUCUCUUAGAAUUCAUUGAUUUCUGGGUCGUCCCAUCAUGGGUUUUAUGAAGUCUCUGAGUAUCUUCAUGCAGAUGCAAAGAAAUUAUGAUCGUCUGUUCAUGGAUGAAUUUACUUUUGUGGGUGUUGUGGCUGCCUGUGCUCACUUGGGUGCAUUGAAGUUCUUGCUUCAAGUUAAUGGAGUUGCCAUCAUAAUGGGCUUGGAAUUUACUAAGAUUACUUAUAAUUCUCUGAUUGAUGCUUAUGGGAAAUGUGGUGGAGCCGAUAAAUGCCGUGACUUGUUCGAAGUUAUGCCUGAGAAGGAUAUUGUGUUGUGGACUUCCAUGGUUGUUGCUUAUUCGCUAGCUCAUAACUUGGAUGAUGCUUGUGCAAUAUUCAACAAUAUGCCAGCGAAGAAUACGGUCUCUUGGACUGCAAUGAUUGCAUGCUUUGCACAAAAUGGCCGUGGUGAUGAAACUUUGGACCUUUUCGUUCGAAUGCGUGAGGAAGGAAUACAGCCAAGUCCUCGUACUUUUGUCAGUGUUCUAUGUGCUUGUGCUGAUUGAGCACUUGCUGAAAGAGGCAAGCAGAGUCAUGGUUGCAUAGUCAGGACCUGCUUUGAUAGAGAUUUGGAUAACAUAUCUGUAUGGAACGCUCUAAUUGACAUGUAUUGCAAGCGUGGCUACAUGAGAGCAGCUGACAUCUUAUUCUUGAGGAACCCAGAAAGGGCUAUUGUAUCAUGGAACUCAAUGAUAAGUGGAUUUUCACAAAAUGGUUUAGGGCAUGAGUGACUUGUUUUUGUCAAGAAGAUGCUGGAGGCAAAUGCAAGAUUCUACCAUGUCACAUUUCUUGGCACUCUAUCUGCUUGCAGCCACGCAGGUCUAGAUGUUGAAGCACUUCAGAUUUUCAAUGCAAUGGAAAAGGACUACACAGCCUUCAAAAGAGAUCCGACCACUAUGCUAUUUUGGUCGAUCUGCUCAGGAGGAAAUACAGACUUGAGGAAGCCAUGGAAUUGAUAGAUAGUCUCAAACAAAUCAGAGCAUGUUGUGCUUUUCGGUUAAUGCAAAGCCCUCGGUAAUCUUGUUAUUGCCUGAAGCUGUGGAUAUCUAUUGAAGUUGAACCCCAAAAUGCUGCGAAGUAUGUGUCACGUUAUCAAGCAUCUAUGCUGCCAUUAACAGAUGGGAUGAUUCCUGCACAGUAAGGAAGCAAAUGGAGGAGAGAAACUUGAUGAAAGAUGUGGCAAACAGUUGGAUUGAAGUAAAGUAUGAAAUGCACAAAUUUCCAGCAAAGGACCGAUUCCACUAUCAGAUAGGAGACAUACACGAAGUGCUCGGGAAACUACCUUAUCAUAUGAAGGAAGCUGGAUAUGUUCAUGAGCCCCACAUAAGGCUCAUAUAUUUUAAUUUGAAUCUAUCUAAUUUAACCUCAAAUGAUGUCUAUAAUUUUUUUUUUUUUAUUGCUAUACUAUAAUCAAUACUCUCAGCCCAUAAAUCUAUCCUAUUUUUGCUGAGUCCUCUGAUCUAGUUUUUAAACAGAUACACAGAAACACUGAUCUAAAUGUCCCUUAACUCGGAACCUGACCAAUCUAUGAUUUUUUUUCCUUUUUGUGGGGUUAAGUCUAAACUCAGGAAGCGAGAGCACUAAGUCUAAACUAAGAGCUCAAGUUCACGUUGGAUAAUUUAAUCCAUGGGGUAUGUAUGAAUAAUCAAUAAAAUAGAUUCAAUGAGAUGACAUUCGGCUUAAUACUUAAAUGCACAAAAAUGAACAUACUAUAUGCGCAUAUACCACCACAUAGUAGCUCAUCCAUAUAUUCAGAUGAGUAUAUUCGUUAUUCGUCACUGCUUGUGACUCAUCUUGACUAAUGGGGCACCGCCACCACCAAUUCAUGCUCAUUGCACAACCGUCUAUGGCAUACUCAUUCUCCUCAAUAUUCAUUCUCACUUUAUUAUCUUUAUUUUCUCAAUCUUGAACCUCAAGUUUAUAAUAUCACAUAGCAAACUACUCAAGUCAUAUCAAGCUGCACAAAUAAUAUCAUUUUAUAUAUGAAUCAGGGGAAUCAGGAAAACAAACUAUAGUGUUGGCAUAUUAUUGACAAUACUUGUAGAAAUUCAAAAGAGUUUGUAAUUUGCUUAAUUAUUAGAAAGUUGGUAAAAUUCUUGAUAAUGUUGGCAAUUUCUUUUAAUUUAUCAGUAAAAUUUCAGAGGAGUGGAUAUUUUACGACUUCAUUCGAAUGUUGACAAAUUCCUCAUAGUGUCAGUAAUUUACUUACAAUAUCAAUAAAGUUCAGAAAAAUUGGUAAUUUAUUAAUUCAUUGGAAUGUUGGUAGAUUUCCAGUGGUGUUGGUAAUUUAUUAAUGAUCAGGUUUCAAGUCAUAACAUUUUACCAGCAAGAUUGGAAAAUUACUAGUAAGAUUGGAAUUCUACCAAGACAGAAAGUUUUCAAUUUUCCACAGCAUGGGACCGUAAAAUUUUGCAUAGCUUCAUAAGUCUCUACCUCUGCAACAAGAACUUAAAUCCCAACUGAUAAUUUCAAUUGUUGAAACAAGAAACGCAGUAAUGAAUCAUUCAGAAGCCCCUGUAGAAAUCUGUUCAAAAUUAUCAAAACUAAAGGACCUUUGUGACCAUUGCACAUGAUCAUUAACUAGGGAGGGUUAUGUUCAUGCUAGACACGAUGUUUUGCCCAUACUUCUUCAUUUCUUCAAUGUAGAAAUUUUCAGGGGAAAUCAGCAACAAUUCUGCAAAUACAGUCGCUGAUGUCUAAUUAAAUUCGCAACACUGAAUGCAAAACAUUGCACAUUAAUCUCCGUGAACGAAUUUUGGAGCAAGUCAUCUUGAAUCCUUGAUGAAUUUCUCCCGUGACGAGAUUAAUUACUAACUGCACCGCUAAACAUUUUAGAAGUAGGACCACAACAGACCAAGAGAAAAAGAAAGAAAUUGCAGAACCAAUCUACUAUAGUAAGGUUUCAUGCCUUCCAGGACAAUAUUUCGGUUUUAGCUAGACCUUGACAAGCUCAGAAGAACAACCGAUUCCCCAUGUAUGUUUUGAACUAGUUCCUAAUCCCCUAAUUGGUGCAGAAGUGAACUGACGCACAGGAGUUGCAAUGUGUUUCAAUAGAAUGUGACUUGGUUAAGGCUAAAGCUAUUAAAGAUUAGAUGCAGAUGGAACAAAAUCAAUCGAGUGAGC